rnacentral:lncRNA from 1 species
AUUCUUUGACUGCCGGUUUUGAAGUCUUCCAGUACUUAUCCAUAGUUGAGAGUUGGGAAGUCGCAGAGUAACCCUCGCACAUAGCAUUGAGAGCAGUAGCGUCAGAGUGAAAGCCUGGAGAGGUUGUUUGAGACGGUAGAGCUAAGAUCCCACUCCGGAGUUAUAAUCAAAAGUAAGCAGCGCGAGGUUGAAAGCAAGCAAUGGAAGCUAACAAGCAAGAGAAAAGCCCAGCAGAGAGAGAAGAAAAGGCUGUAAAGUCAAGCAAUACUGAUAUGUAGUAAAGUCUACGUCUAUAGGCGUUAUACCUUACCUAUGAAUUGAAGAAAGAGAAACAGGAGUCUCCGUUUGAGAGAAGAUAGAGGCAGACUAGCAAUCGAUCCUACUAGUAGUGGAAGUUGGAAAGUAUAGGAAGUAAGCCGGCGAUCAAGGAGCUUUAGUUUGAUAGCGAGGAAGGGAAGGUUAAUUGGCAGUGAAGCAAGGCUAAAAGCAAAGAGGGUUGGUUAAUAGUUGGAGAAUGAAAAGUCACCUGUGUUAGGUUUAACACCAGUAGUAUAAGGCUAGCAAUCGCUCAUGGUAUUUUGAGUCAAUCGAGUAAGUCCCCGUAUCUGUAGUGCUAGGGCAUGUGGGAAGAACGAAGCUAUUGAGUAAGGCUCCAAGGCAUCAGUGGGAAGAGUGUGAAUUGGUGGUUUAAGACCGGAAGCAAGGGGAUAGGUCGUAAGCCUAGUAUAAAAGGUCGCUCCAGAGCGAAGCUAACGAUUGGUAUACUGGCAACUAGUAAAGGCUCAGAGGCUGUAAUGGUAGUUUGACAAAAGGCAUAGGCAUUGAAGCCACGAGUAAAGAAUAUAGGUAAAAAGUACAAGUUUGUGUUAGCAGAGCCUACUCCCUACCGCAUCUGAACACAUCUGAAGUAAGAACUAUACCAUAAAUCAUUUCUUUGUUGUUUUGUGGCAGUCAAGUAGCUUCACACCUAUUGCCCUAGAGCUAACUCUGUCUUUCCCGACUCAAACUCUUUAACCACUGAUACAGAUCCUUACUCCCGGGAUUGACUCUCAUACUAAUACAAAUAAACCAAACCGUAGAAUAAUGUUAAUUAGGUUCGACUAUUACCUGACAAGAAAGAAACUCGGAACUAAGAAACCAACUAUACGACCUCUGAACAAGAAAAAGGGAAUGAAACCCAGAACCCCUGCUGAUGAGAAUGAAAAAAGCAAUAAAGAGUUGCACUGCUGCAAUGAUAAGAAGACUUUGACUCACGCCUAUAAACCACAAAUUCUUACUACUUGGUCUCGGGCUUACUUUCCUCUAUCUAAGUAUAUCACUGCUUGCUUUGACUCCCCCGCUCCUUCCCCUGAGCCUGACUCUUAUGCCUCCCAAACUUAUACUGAUGCUAGCAAUACCUACUAACAAGGACUUUCUUUCUUUGGCUACUGCACCUAUGAGCUGCCCUACCUUGAGUUAAGUCUCCGAACUCUUAUUUGAAUUCUUUUGAUGAGUUUAGGUCUGCUACUUUGGAUCUCCAAUCUAUUGCCUGCUGCGCGCCUACCUUUUUGAGUAUUCCUUUUGCUAGUAUCGCUAUUCCACUCUGAACUCUAAAACUACCGACUUGCCCACACAUUACAAGCCUUACUGACUCCCCAGCAAAUGCAAAGCCUUACUUCUAUCCUUGUUUCGAACUAGUACACUAUCUAAUAGAUCAAACUAAUCACUUUGGAGAAAACUAGAAACUGGCAAUCCAGCUGCUGCUGCUGACGAGACUUUGACUGACCCUAUAAGAGUGAAACUGCUACCGAUUAGACUAACAACGACUUAGAAUAACAAGGCUUUCACUGGCUCUUAGCACCUUUACUGCUACCAUUUGAUACUAAAAUAAUGGAAUUACUGCUAACAGGGUUUCAUCAAUGCCUUUCAUUACGUAACUACUGCCUACGAUCCUAUACUCCUCGAUAUCAGCCUACCAUUCAUUGCGGAAAUGUCUAUGUCCUAUUAUUAGUAUGCCUUUACUGCCUUACAUUCCUUUCUCUUAGCCUUGCUUCUAAGCGUUAGUCUGCCCCUCCCUUAUCUUAGUAUGCCUUUACUGUCUACCAUUCUGACUAUCCUAUCGAUCUUGCUUCCCCUCUUUCAUUCUUGAGUCAACUCUCACUCCGUCUUUCCUUACUAUAGGUCUGACUAUCCUUUCUCUCAAACUGAUACCAUGGCAUCUCAAUCUGAUUCCUCUAAUAGAGUGCACUAGUUUCUUCUUGUAGUCAGUAGCUGUGGAUUGGAUUCUGACUUACGUGUGUAAGCGCCUAAUACUUAGUGUUUGGAUUCCCUUUUGGUGAGUUAAAGCAUUUGGGGAGCAGUUACAGCCUUAUUAGUGGUAGUUACAACCUGUAUUCUUAUUCUUAUUAGCAAUAGUGAAAGUCUAUCCCGAUAGAGUGGUAGUCUUACUUACCCCACAGAGUAUUCUUGAUUCUGAUAUUGAUUCUAAUGGUAGAAGCUCCAUUACAUCGAUCCUAGUUGUGAGUUGUUGUCUUGUUAGGUGCCUAAGGGCAUAUGAGUAACCAGUUUAGUUCGUUAGUGGGAUGUUUGAUUCGUAGUUCCAGUAUAGUAGGGCCCAGGCCCACGUAUCUGACUUAUGAGUUUCACCCUAUAAGCUAAGCACUCGUUUCAUUCCUUAUUAAAGGCUUUAUUCUGAUUGACAUGAUUCUAAUCCGAAAUCUGUAUGCACUAGAUCAUACCUCUACUACUUACAUCGUACCUCUUCCACUACUUAGAGCUCAAUUCUUGCUUCCCUACUUGCCCCGGUCUAUGAAUGAUAGUUGAAAUAAGGCCAUGUAAGUAAGAGUCAAAACAAAACAAAAGAGUAGGAUUUAGGGCUAAGUAUGCUAUGCUCAUAUUAUUGUAAGAAUGGAGCUAGGGCAUGCCAACACGAAACUCGAAACAUGGGAUCCAACGCUGAUAUAACGACAUUGAACUAAGAAUAAGAUAGCUUCCGUAGGUGCUGAAAGCCUAGUGGAUAACAAGAACCGAACCUGGGCAUAUGAUACUGGCAUCGGGGCUAACAAUACCGUAACUAAACCCUGGGGAUUCAGCAGUGCCCAACAAGACUCUUACUUAGCAUGUAACUCAUAGGUAAAAAGAAUAAAGAGCGGAACUCGUAUCAGCCCCUUAUGACUAGGGCCAAGCAAGAUAGAAUACGCAUAAGACAGUGAGACUAGAGCUUUACCUGCCCGAUAUCCAUGAAUCCUCUCUGGAAAGAAAGAAGAACGGCCUAUUCCGCGAGAUCCAAUCAUAUCUCUCUUUCUCUAUCGAAAGAAAGCCUAGUUACUUGAGUUGAAACAAUAGAAUUAGCCGAGGCUAUCCCAGUUCCAGUUUGGCUAAACGAGGAAAGUGUGUUUUUGGCAUAAAUCUGUCUUCUUCUUUAAACCAACCCGGAAACUAUUCCUUAUAGAUUGAGUUUUCCUACUAGACUCUUGACUCUAAAGUUCUCCUAUUAGAUGAGUUAAGUAUUUGAAGUGAAGCAGGCUUAAAAGGUGGAAGGGCUAGGCUUGCUACUGGGGUUGCCAAUAUGAAAGAGCUCCGCCUUUAUGACCUAUCUAAGUAAAUGAGCUUGCGAGGGAUCGAGCCCUUCUAUGGAUAAUUAUGUAUUAAGUAAAGUAAUAGAUGCGCCUUUCUACUAUAACCUCCAAGACCCUUAAAUUGCAGGGCCCCUAACGGAUUCAAUGUUACCUGGGAUCAAAUCCUUCCUAAAUGAAUUUCCUCUGGAGCUGGGUUCUUUCCCUCCGAAAUCUCUUUUUAUUGGCAACUGGAUUAGGCGUUUCCAUCUCUCAAACUAGAAGAAAGCGCUUUUUCACUUAUAAAGAAGGGAGCAGGUUAACUUGUAAACGGCAAGUCUAGGCUUGCUUCGCUCCAUUUCCCGUAAGCUCGUGAGGCGCCCAGUUAUUACGAUAGGACUCGUUGGUGACUGCUUUCUCUCUUUUAUCAGUGACUUGACAACAGACACCUAAUAACCUAUAGUUACUAACACUGUAUGAGCUUCCCUAUACUUCAAAAAGAGAAAAGGAUUAGCAUCUGAACUAAGCUGGUGAUUCAAGCGCAUCCCAUGCCUCCACUAGUAAACCUCCAUCCUCUAUCGCUGCUUCCUAUCUAAGUUAAGGCUUUAAUUGAACCAUUUUUCUCUCUAUGGGUUAGGCGGGCACAUCCUCUAGGAGGCAAAACCACAUAAGUAUUGCAUCUGUACGGAACAUGGCUCUGCACAAAGCUGGCCUCAAGACUGCACACCGCCCAUUUUGGAAGAGAAAGGUAACCACCCAGAGUUGUUUCCGGAUUCGCUCUGCCUGACUUCGAUCUAUCAGACCUCGUUCUCGUUGUAAAGUGUUUCAAAAAGAGCAAUUGGUUCCUAGUGCAAACGGACGGAUUGGGGCAAGAUUUGUAGGCUAGGCUCGGACAAGGUUAGGAAGGGCGAGAAGGAAGAGAGCUACUGUCGUCUGUUCUGUUCUCGUGCCUAAGCCAAUUAGGAAUUUGGACCUUUCUUUAGGUGGGGUAGUAUAAAGCAUACCAUCUAAAGAGGCUGGAAAGGAAGAAAUAGGUAGUAUAAAGCAUACCAUCUAAAGAGGCUGGAAAGGAAGAAAGAAAGAGCAAAGAUAAUCCUAUAUUGAAAGAAUUGGUUCCACCCGAUGGUACCUCAUUUCCUUUCGAGUUAACUGCAUGGGAUCUUUUCAUACGAGCUUCUGUUUUUUCUGUAAGAAGAAAAGAAGACCGAUUACGAAAGCACUAGCUGCGGCAACUGCUGGAUACUCAUACUUAAGCUCCGGAUACGAUCACACCAACAAGGACUAGCACUAGAUAUGUGAACAGCGUAUGAUGAUUCACUAUCAAACACAGAGGGCAUGAGAUUUCGAAAAGAGUGGAUUCGACGGGAUAUUCAAUCUAUACCUGGCGCAUUGACUCAUUCCAUCUAAACGGGAUAUUCAAUCUAUACCUGGCGCAUUGACUCAUUCCAUCUAAUAAGACGAAAGAAAGACACCUGCACACGAUCGAAAGCAAUGAAGGCUAAGAGCAGAUUCUAAAAGACCGCGUAGUUAAUAGAAAUAUAGAACUGGGACAAUACACUACUAAUGUGUAGCGGCAGGGCCAAGCAACGUAGUUAGUUGCGCGGCAGUCGGCCAAGCAACGAUUACUGUUGCGCGGCAGCCAAUAAGAAGUAGUGAAUAGUUAUAACCAAGUCCUUAGUCUUAGAACGCUAGUGAGUUAUGAGAAAGACCCCUCUCCACUUUGAAAGACCUUUGUUAGGUCGAAGAGCUAUUUAUAUUAUGGUGUAAAUAAAGAAACCCAUGAUUAAUAGAAUGACAAACUUUAGUAAUUCCUUGAAUUGGAGAAAUGAAAAUGUUAGAAGAUUGAUCUUGAUUACUCUUAGUAUGGCAGAUAUUCCUGUAUAAAUGAAAACUUGAAACACUGGUAUAAGUAUAAGAAAAGGCCCUAUACGUAAUUGCUAGCGCAUCUAUAGGUAUGAUAGAAUCUGGAACUAGCCGGCGUGCUCUUUCCUUCCCUAGUGUUCUUUCCUUUAAGUAAGAAUUCCACCCUAUGGCUCUGUGCUUUUGUAGUAGUUGGCUGCCGCGCAACAGUAGGAGUGAGUUCAAGUUAUAACCAAGUCCUGUGUGCCGUUUACAGCCUUGCCUUAACUUACCUUCAAGCUGUGUAGGAUGCGCUCAAUUCUCUUUUUGAGACUCCAUUCUCCUCUUUAGACUCAAUUCGAUUCUUUUGGUUGUAUUCUUAAGCUUCUACUGCAGCAGAUCAAGAUCUAUAUGAUUCUCUCGACGCAGCUUAUUCUCUUGCAACAACAGUUGGACCAGGAAAACAAGUAAUGGAACUUUAUAGCGCAGAAGACGAAAACAAGACUUCCGACUCUUGAAAGGCUGGAAACCAAACUAGUAACUACUAGACGCCAAGAUACAUAGUAAGUAGACAAAGGCUUGAAUCGGGCCAAGCUACGUAUACAAAGGCAAAGAGAGAAAGAAAGAAACAUAAUAAUGUAUUAGUAGCAGCUGUUACCAAGUCUCUCCUCCGAGUCCUGUGCCACUUAUAUAUCUGCUCCCGGGGUUUGGUGAAAACGGAUUGUAUGCAGCUGCUUCCCCCAUUUCAUCUUUGAUAACGGAAUGCGGAUCAUCUACUUCAUAAGCUAGAUCAGGUACAGGUAAAGGGGUUUAAGCGGCAGCUGUUCUCUUCUCUUCUUGCCUACCCGAACUCUACUCUCACUGAGUCUGAUCCAUAUCUUUCAACUUUACCUUGUAGUGGGCAUUUGCCAAGAACAGAAUAAUACUUUUAGCUUGCAGUUGACUUCCGCACUCGACUUGAAGAACCGAUUGCACCUGCUAUUGUUCUUGCUCCGGAAACUCGUUACGUGGCAGAUCCAUAUCACUUAUUUCCUUUUCUCUCUCUUGCUUAGCGCCCUGGCCUUUGAACUAGUUUAUGCCCCCACCCCUACCUCUCCUGGAAGUUAAGAAUUCAUUGAUUCUUUGUUUCCGGCUUCAGGGCGUUGUGGUCCAGGAAAGGUUUCGUUCUUGGAAUCAGAAUAAGAUUGAUAAGAUAAGUAUUAGGAUAAGAAUAAGAUGCUAUCCAACUGACAUCGUUCUUGUUCCCCGACUGGGUAUGAGAGAUGUGGGUAACAAACCGAGUCCUCUGAAACAAUAAAUACAGAAUUCCAACUUCAAACAAACAUAAGAAAAAGAAGAAUUAGCUACUAGUAGAGGUAUGAUAGAUACCGGUAACCCACAAUGUGCUCUAAGGUGACUCGGCUCGCUAACGCUUCAGACAGGUGCUGAAAGCCUAGAAACUACACUAGAAACUCCCCCAUACAUAGUUGUUAGUGCUGCAGAAGUAUCGUCUCCUUAGGUAUUUCUCGUAGAUAGAAUCCAGAUUGAAGUGAAGCUGACCCCUGACUUGCAGCAAUGAACUAUCUUACGCCUAACUAGAAGAUGGAAAUUGGACUCUCGAGCAGGCGUUUGCGUUACCUAACUUUCUCCUGUAUAACAUUGCCUCUCAUCGACCUUUUGAGUUGAGUUCGUUUCGGGGUUAACACUUAUUGGAGUGGUGCUUGAGUUUCUUGUCUAGUCGUUGCUUGUUGAAUACAACUGGUGCUUUUACUUGAUCUUUAUUGUAGUAAAGAAAGAAACUGUGCCUAACGAAACUAACUAGCAACUGGGCUACCAACUGCGUAUUAAGAGACUUCAACUAGGAACUUCUACUUUAACUAGUACUUCUCGGGAUGGAACUGAUGAAAACAAGGGCAGUAAGACCUAUAUGUUAAGAAGGGGCUAUGGACUGAAAGCAAAGAGGACAGCUUUGGAGUCGAUAGUGGAUUUCCCGGUUGUGAGUGGCAUUCUUCCUACUCUUUUAGUGUCUUCAGUCUUGGUAUCAGUGAUGCAAUCCAAGUUGUAAGUAGCGGUGGGCCGAGACAUUAGUUAAUAGGGCUGGGCAUGUCCCCACAGACUUCAGGCUUUUGGGCGGUAAUGUAGGUUUUGCAGCCAGUAGCGGCAGUAUGAUAAGCACUUUUUUCAUUUGAAAGAAGCCGAGUAAAGAUCCGGAUCUGAGUUAACAGUUAUUAAAGUACUAGAAGCGGUAAUUUCUUCUGUUGAUUGAUAUGCGUGUUUUCAUAUGAGAUUUUCUACUACCAUUGGGCUUUAACUGUUACCAUUAGAAUGAGACUCACCCUACCUACUCUAUUAGAGUGAAAUUACAGGCUAUCGGACUAUCACCUGUAAUGAGGAAUCUUACUCAUAAGUGUGAAUUGAAACCGGGCAUCCAAGAGCGAAAGUACCAAUCACCGACGGAGUAUACAGGAAUUGAGCUAAGCUUAUACUAUAAGAAUAGAGCAGCGGGCAAACGGACUAUAACAGCUAACUAUAAGCCUGCCGCUACUGACUUUGACUCUUACUUAUUAACUUGAAUGUAAUAGACUGGACUGAUAAAGACAAUAAAAGAAAUAAUAAAGUAUACCGGGCAUAGGCACUUAACUUAAUUAGUAUAGUAAUGAGUUGAACACACGAUAAGGAAACUCAAAACUCAAGUAGAGGAACCGGGCCCUGUAGUACUAACCUAACCUUUGCGCUUAAAACGGAAGCUAAUGCCUUAAAUGCCCAUCCAUGUUAGAGUUUUUGUAUUCCACUCGUUAGUUGCACCCUUGCUUAUGAGUUAGGGCCUACCGCUCUUUGCUUUCCAACCUCAACUCCCGUUUCUUACGGAAUUUAUUGCUUAUUUAUUUGUCUACUACUUGCUUCAAUGCCUAUGUUUACUCGAUAUAUGAAAUUCCACUCAUUAGACGGAAUGAAUGUGUUUUCUUAUACUUAUAUUAGUAGAUUAGUAUAGAAAAGAAGUAAAUACAAAUGAAUGAAGAGAACUAACUCAAUGGAUUUGAAGAAUUAGAUAAAGUAACUACGGGACUAACAAGAAAUGAAGUAGUGCCGACAACACUUAUCCCGCUAACCUGGAAUUAAAUCCAUGGUACAGUAUACCGUGCCUAGCUCUAAGGCGUUGAGUCAAAAAAAAAGAGAGACUUUACCACCUACACAAGCAAGAGACAGGCAGUGAGUUGGCAUACUCAAACUCGAGCAUAAGAUACGAACAUCGCCCCCAACGAAUUAGACAAAUUAGGGAAAUAGAGUCUUAGAAGCAGCAGCUACAGUCUUAGAAGCGGUAGUGUCAGUCUCAUAUGCCCCAGUUCUGUUAUCAUAGUCAGCAUAAGGAUUACCUUAUCCAUAUUUCAAGUCUUAGAAUACGUAGAGUAAGCCUGAGUUACGUGGUUAGGUCUUAUAAGAACUGGUUGUAGAAUGAGAUAAAGCAAUUCAAGAGGGAAUCAAUACUCAAGCAAGUAAGGCUCAUAAGUAGUAAAGCAAGGAUGUCAGGGGCAAAUUCGGAACUGUGGAAAGCCAUUUCAGAAUUCUAUCUAUGAGGUUCGGGCAGAAGCUCUCACUCCAUCCCAAGUGAAAGGCGGGGCCAAGUAACUGCUACAAACACAUAGCAUCAAAUAAAUACGUUAUACCCAGUUAUUCCGGAGUCCUAAUUAAUAGCGGCAGCGCUUCAACUUCUUUUGAGUCCUGUGCCCUUAAUUCAUUUCGGUAAGUCUACUAUAUUCAUUAGUUGGGGUAAGUCUACUACUGGUCAGAGGGGUGUAAGAAGUCACUAACCCAGUACUGUACGUGUUCGUAGGAAAGGCGGAAUUGCACUCUUAUUAUAGAUGAUCGGAGGCCAAGCAACUGUCGGGAUCUUUAUGGUUUUCGAGUGGAUCUUCAGCGGGAAGUAAGAUAGGCUCUUAGCACCUUACUUAUUAAGCCUGGCUUAGAUCUUUUCCUAGUUGACCUGGUCGCCAGCAGCUUGUUUCAAUUCAUUAAGUAUUUGUUGCAAUAGGGGCUUAGAGAACUGGAGAUCAAUAAAUCUACUUAAGGACUGACCGCUGAAGAGGUUUCAUUCUUUCUUAUAUAAGUGAUGAAACGAGGGGUGAUUCAAUGCGGGGCGCCAGCCAAGCCGAAAUGAGCAAAUAUUGGUUUACAGCCCCAACCCCCAGUAGUGGUGCUUUUGAAUCAGUAUUUCUUUCAGUAGUAUCGUAGUCCAGAGCCAUAACUUGAUUUGUUUACAGAGAAGACUAAGGAUCUCUCUUGCUGGUACGAUCUUAGCGCAUUCCUUCUUUCCCACUUUAGAGGAUUUGUAGGCGUUAACACUAGAGGCCCUUAUUGUAAGUUGAGGCAAGGGAAAGGGGGUUGCUUGUUGGAUGAAACACUACCUAAUAGCUUUCACUCGCACUGCUUCUAUAUAAGAUGAAACAAACAGUAGUUAGUUAUUAUGGAGUCCGGCUCUCAUGGCGGCAGGGAUAGUUGAGUCUACAGGUGUUGAGUCUACAGGUGAGGAAGAACAGUUAGAGUUUAGUCUACAGGUGUUGAGUCUACAGGUGAGGAAGCUGGGUUAAGGGCAGUGUCGUCUCUUGUUUCAUCUUAUCUUGUUUAUAAUCUUAUAAUUCUAAAGAAUCAGGGUUAGUUAGGUCGUAGAGAGAAUCACCAGUCCUGUGUUCUGCCAUGCUUUAUCGGUUCCUUGACUUACUGCUCCUUCGCAUACUAAGGUGUUUCCAGGGGGUCAGUUCCAUUAAGUACUUGAAAGUUAUGAUUCUGCUCUAACCAGAUAGUCCAGGGAAAGUGGAUUUCCCAUAAAACGACAGAAGUGAGGUCAGGUCAUUUGCCAUCAAACAAAAGAAGAGGAUUGAGCUCAAUAGUCAAAGGAGAAGUAGGCGCAUACCCGGAAUCAACACCAGAGCAGGAGAGCGUGGGUCCAAGGCUAAGAGAUAUGGUACGAUGUAGUGCAUCUUAGAUAAGAAGAAUAGUAAUACUACCAAUAUAUGAAUAAGAAUAUGGAUACCGAGUCGUAGAAUACAUCCUGGAACAGAGAAAUGCCACCUCCACUGAUGAGAAUGAAAAAACCCAAGUACUAGCAGGAAACUAAUACGCAAUAAACCCCCGCAACGCUGAACUGAACCUCCACGCUCUACGACAAGAGUAGAAACACUGCCAAUAGAACCUUAGCUCGGAACUCCGCCUUUUUCCCUUCUCUUGAAAACCAGAACUAAUGCCUGACAUCCAAACUAGAGCUGCUGAUCCGGACCUUUGCUUUGUAGAUUGAUUCUAACUAUCCGUGCUUUUGGCCUACCCUUACUUCCUUCACUUCUUUAGCUCCCGAACACAGGACUAAGAUCUUAAAGCAGACAACUAGUUCCCGAACACAGGACUUGGCGGUCAUUAUACAAAGCUUGGCGGGGCAAACAACUACUAGAAACUGUCUUUGAGAAUGGAAUGUGAGGUCUGUCCUUAGAAAUCCUUAUAUAUAAGAAGAUAGUGAUUCCCCCUAUCUUGACUUACCCGGUUAACCGUUUCAAAGCACCUUAGAUACUCGUCUAUAGCAUCUCAUCCACCUUCAUUAUGACUUCAAACUAUAACUCCCGGAACUUAACUUGCAGAGCCAAGCAACGUAGUUAGUAGACAAAGGCAAAGAUAGAAGACAAGCCAAUUACCUUUAAUUGAACUGGUAUGGGCAAGGCUGCUACUACUCCCCCAGCUAACCAGACUUUCCUGUCUACUAGGCUACCUCUCCUUGUUUUCAAUCUGACUUGACUCUAUCUCCCAGCUACUGCUUCUAGGGCUUUGCUUACAGGCAUACCCUCCCAAGUUACUGAGUUUGGGACCGCUAACUCAUAUUAUUACUAUAAUGUUGAUCAGCCACCAAGCUACUACUCUUAAUUAGAAUAAAAUACAGAAGUGUCAAGGACUAAACUCUAAACAAGGAAAGUCAGAGUCAAUGCCUCCACCGAGGUAGCAAACAGACACUCACUGAUCUAACUCUUAAGCUAUUAAUAGAAAAUCUGACUUUGCUGUCUCUUAGCUUCUAUGCCUCUACUCCUGAGUCGCAUACUGACUAUACAACCCAGCAGUCUUACAGUAUCUUACACUGCCUGGCCUGACACCACUUACUUCAAUUCUUUAACUAAUGAUCUGGCUCCUUCCCUUUACUAUUCAACACCUAACUUCUGACUUUCAUUCCUAUUCUAUUGUUUCAAACUUCCCUUACGGAUCCAGUCCAGAUCCUUGCUUUCAUUCCCUCCCGCUUACUUUCACACUGCAUCCCUUUGGCCCACCUCAACAUAACUUGCACCCCCGAUUGCUGCUGUCAACUAGAAUACCAUUCCUCUGGCCCGUUGCUUUCCCUUACUUAUAUGAAAGCUGUCUGCUUGGUUGCUCCUUACUUAAAGAAUUGAGUUUACUUACUGCUACUCUGCAGGGGAAACUUUCACAGGUGAUUCUCCUGAUCUAGCUUCUUCACUUGUCGACUUCCCACUGCUGGACUAUACUUCUUUACCCGACCUCUCUACUUCCAUAAAAGACCUCUAUUAAUUGAGUUCCCGAACACUGGAAUAGUAGGCCACUAAUUAAGUAAUAUAAAAGCGUGUUACCCGCCUAGGCACUAUAGAAUAAGGUCACCAACCCAGUGCUCUUUACAAACAAAGUAGGGGGAAGUUGUCCCAUAAGAAGGGUAGGUCAACAUCUUGUCCUGCUUGCUUUAGCUCCUUGUACAGAAUAUGAGUAGAAAACUUCUUCAGCUAGGUUAACUUACGUUCCAUAAGCGGAAGCGAGGUGUGGUACAAAGAAUGGAGUUCCGCUCGCGCUAGGCAAAAGCAGUGUUACCGGAUUCUAUACCUAGUGCUGAGGAGAACCUAUGUUACUCGAAAGAAGCCUAUUCUUCAGCCAACACCUAAGCAGCAUUCAAUUCGAGCUAGAUUCUCUUCGGCUUCAGAUCGUUCUUUUGCAUCGAUUAACCUGUAUGCCUAUAACGGAGCCCAUGUGGCGGUAAAGAAAACCUUAUCUUAUCUAUACUUUAUACUUGAAGUAAAGAAACCCUUGUAGCUCGAACUCCCUUGUAAGUUCCCUUGCUUUAGCACUUGAAGAACGAAUGUCGGCUAACUCCCUAACGCUUGUUGGGCUCACAGGUCUAUACUUCUAAGAUUGAACAACGCGGUUGAAGAAAAGAAGUCUUCUAAAGCAGAGGGGUUAAGUAGAAAGAAUAAGUAUAAAGCAAGUUCUAGUAGAUCUCAUCUCGCCUAUAAGAAAGCCUUACAAAAUAUUAUUAGUCUAUACCGGAACAAGCAAAUCACUUACCAGAAUUAAGGGAAACAGAAAAAUCAACAAGUGGGAGAGUUCCAGGCCCAAGAAACAAGUCUUUUGUUUUCGACAUUAUGUAUUAGUUGCGAAAGUCAGUCAGCAUAAGAAGUUGGAUUUGCAGCUGGAUCAUAAGCAGAAUCAGUAUCUCCGUAAGCCGAUACGACUAAAUAAGGACUUGCUACGGACGUUCCAUAAAUGUAAUCUAUCGAAUAUGGGGUUAGUAUAUAUAUAAAGAUUAAGUCACUGUGGAGGAGAGUACACUAACUCCUUUUUCACCCGAUAUAGAAGCCGAAUGCCCAGAUUCAGUAUAAGCAAGAUCAGAAAGAAUGGGAGUGAGGAUCGGAAGGCUGACAUGUUGUCCGUGGAUAAAGGCAUAUAGAAAAUCCAGCAAGGUUCGUAGGGGGAGUGAAGCAGGAGACCUCGGGCGUGUGAGACCUUAACGCGCAACAGGGAAAUCCACUACUAACUAAUAGCCUGGCAUUACUACCAAUAAGACUAUAGUUCGAAACUGGUACUUCCCCGACCGACCUCUAGCCCUCAUCUCUUGUCUAUACGCCUUACUGCAAGGGCACAACUAAUACCUGCUCCUAAGAGUAUUGCUCUCGACCUGUAAUUGCCGCUAGCUGCAGCUCCUGGCUCCAAAGCAGUUCCGUAUCUAAGCCUCCUGCGACUGACUUUCAUCCUAUAUCCACCGCGACCUAUACUUUUAACUAGAAACAAGGGGCCCAACAACGAUAACAAGAAGAGGCCCUAUAGGAAUAAAGAAUCCUACUAGCGCUUUUCACUCUUUCACUACAGAUCCGGGUCCUGACUUACUUGCUAAAGAGAGCUCAACUUACUACUAUAAGAAAUUCAUUACAGCUUCUCGGACUGCCAUGCCAAGUAACUGAUAGACAAGCAGACAAGAGUGACUUCUAACUCGAGCAGGACUACUACUACUGUACUGGUCAACUAAAGAAAAGAAAUAAGAAAUCCAAGAAAUAAGGACUAGGUAAGGUUGCUAAGGUGAAGAAGCCUAGUAGCAGCAGUAAAGGCCUUAUUGCUAAGGUAUAAUAUACUUACUUGCCUAGGAGCUAAAUGGAAUCCCUAUCUUUUGAACCUGAUCCAGCAUCUGCUCUGGUGCACUUUCCUCUUACGGGUGAUGAAACAACUAAUGAAGGUGCUGAAAGCCACUCGAAACCGAGGAAUAAAGAAUUGCGGAAUUCCCAACCGGGUAGUCCAGGUUAUAAAGUAAGGUCGGUGUUGGCGAUUGAUUAGUUCAACAAAGGGUACCUCUAUUCCAUGCGUGGUUGAUACCUUUGACUUGUAGUUGGGGCAGGGCAGAUUGCCUAGUUGCUGAGGCCUUGUAGCUCAGGAGUUCAAUUAUUAGUAAGGGGGAUAGGUAGCUUAACCAGCACAGGAGCAAGCCAGCGGACAAGCAACGUAUAAAUCAUGAAGCACUUAACGUGAGCGGGCAGGUGACUUUACUCGAUUCUUUUAUUCCCUUCACUUUGGUAGAGCAGAGCCAGAGCCUAUACUUUCAAGGAAGCACUAACGGGAGUAGUUGACUCAAUAAGUUCACCUUAGCUACUACGGAAGGGAAGGUAGAAAACUCAAGAAUCAAACCGGUCCUAUAGUAUCUCUAGUUUCGGAUCAGGAGUAGCAAGAGGAGUCACUUUAGUGUUUGCCUAUAAGAAGAGAAAUUCACCUUGCUAUUUAGUUUCGGGGGGAAGUUCGCCAAAGCCACUGUUAGGUUUUCUUACUAGGUUAUACUACUGCCCCAAUAGAUGAAUUCCUACUACUCGGCUCGGGAUGAAACAAGAACUGGUCGGAAUCCUAGUUUCAAAUGCACUAUCACAGAACUUAUAGUGACAGGGGCAGAGGCACGGGAAGAAAGCAAAUAAGCAGUUUCAAGAUCUAAAGGAGGAUUAGAGGCAAGAUCAGAAGCACUAGAAAGUCAGUCAAUUCAGUCUUCCUCACCCCGGCCCACAAGCACUCGACCAAGUACUGAAUUAAGCGUAUGUGCUCUCUGUGCAAAUACUAGGUUAAUACUAGGUUCUGGGUUCAGGUAAGAAUCAAUGCCUUCUUCAGCAGCCUUAAUAAGUAAAAGGGGUUGUUAGAAAGGAAGAAUGGAAAUAGGCGCCAUCCCGAGUUGAUAACUUAUUAUUUAGGGCUUUUCACCCCUGAGUUUCAUCGUAUCUAGAGCUAGAGGCAGACUGCCCUUGACUAUUAAUUGGUAGAUGAGAGGUACCUGCUAUGGUUCUUGUUCUUGUUGUUGGCAAGAUAAUAGAGGUAGUCGGGCUGUUCUAUAUCACUAUUCUAAAGAUAAGAUAUAAUUUCUAUGGACCAAGCAGCCCUAAUAAGUAAGGGCAAGACACCACUAGACAAGCUACUACUACAAACGCAAGACUCGGAAUUAAUGCAUUAUAACUCAUUAUUAUGAAGUCCUGUAUUCAAGGCGUCAGCGAGUUCUAGUGGCGCGGUAGCAACAUUACUGCUAGCGCAUCCAGUAGAAGAAUGAGAAUGGAAUUAACCAAUCGCAUCAAAGCCAGUCCAGUACUUGACCUCGCAGCAAAGCAAGAAUACCAUUGGCACCACCGAAAAUAGAUUCUAGUAUAGCAAGUAAACCACCCUAUGCCUAUCCAUACGCGCCUCCCCUCGUAUUGGAAUGAAGAGUUGCGUUGUUGACCCUGGCUUUCCCUUAGAGUGCUUUUCUUUCCCUUGUAGUGGUCUAAGUCGUAACCGCUGUAGCUCGCAGGUGAGAUGAAGUCAAAGUUUUCAAGUUUAGUAUCUACUAGAAUAUGGUAAAGAAUAAUCAUCAAAUACUGGUUAUAAAGCGGGAAGUAAAGGUUAGGGGGCCAAGUUGUAGAUAAGGCUCUUAGCACCUUUUUGCGUCCGCGGGUAAACUCAUCUUUAUGGGUGGGUGUCGUAGAGAGAGGUUCACGUGAUUGACUUGAAUCAUUUAUUGAAUCAUAGGAUUCAUCUGCGCUAACUGCACUAACUGCACUAACAUUUGUUGUUGACGGUAAGGGAAGUGCCCACUACAAGGUUGAAGAAUCAAGGAAGCGGGAAAGAAAGGUAGUUAACUAAAGUAAGCAAGCGGUAAAGACAUCAGUGUCAAAGCAGUUACAAGAAUAAGUGGUGUUGUCUCAAAGAAGAGUCGCUAAGUUGCUGUCUAGUGGAUCUCCGCCUAAUAGAACCUUUUCUAUGACUAAAGGAAAAACCUACAUAACUGACCAUAGUAUACUUAUUGGAUUGAUAUCCCCUCCAUUGUAUACUUAUGGGAUUGAUAUCCCCCUAGGAAAGGUACUAGAGAAAACUAUGACUAGCCCUAAGGAAAGGUUACUAGAGAAAACUAUGACUAGUCAAAAAAAUGUUAACUAUUCACUUUUCUUUCUUCAAGCACUGGAGCUUUCGUUAGAACUUGAACUGGGCAUCCGCCAUGGAAUAGCCCUAUCUAAAUUCCUUUGAAAAUACGCUAUCUGGACAAUUCCUCUUGACUUUAGUUGAAGUUCAAUCAGAAACUUAUUAAGGGACAUGUAAUCAGUUGAGUUCAAUCAGAAACUUAUUAAGGGACAUGUAAUCCCAUAGGAAAACCAUUCAUAAUUCAUUAUCGGGUGGGUACAGCUUUUUCAAUCCAAAAACACUCCAACUCUAACCAUUAGUUUCACGAUGUUACUCGCCAAGCUACAUUGUAAGUAGCGACCAAGCUUAGGGACAAACAACUACUAAUGACCAAGCCAGAGAAGGAGAAGAGUGCAUUCUGUAUUUGAAGCCUGAGUUAUAUGAGCCAGAGGUAGAUUAGAGUCCGGGUUUUGUGCCUUAAGUUGGUAAUGUCACUUCUUGUCCCGCUUCCUCACCUGCUCUUUUCACUGAAACUAUACUUUAUGAAAAGGAAUUCAUUGAAUCUACCUAACACAAUAUGGAAGGGGUAAGCAUCUCAGCUGACAUCUUAUUGAAUAUAUGGAAUCGCUACUUUCCUGUUCGUCAAGCAUUAACCUAGCAGUAGGGCCUGUUUGAAGUGAAUGAAGUCAACCUUUCAUAGUGAAGAAGUCAACCAUGACUUGAUUUCUGAAUGAACGUUAGUUAGCACCCCGCUCUGUGGGUCAAUAAGCAUUAGCGCCCCUUAAAAACCAGAAAGAAAGAAUUCCAUUUAGCUAGCUUCAUAUAGAACUGAGUUCAGAAAACACCUAUUACUUACUGCUGGCUCUGCUCAUCCCUUGAAUAGAGUAAUAACACCUAUACAAUACUGCUGGCUCUAAAUCAUUGAAUUGAACUGACUUCAUAUAGAAUCUAGUAUACUCACUGCUUUGCUUGCGGACUCCUGACUCACUGUUGACUUAGACGGCUUCCCUUUGACAAUGUAUGAUCUAUGAACUUCCAGAAAUGAAUCGCAACCCUGAUGAGCUUUCUUUCAUAUUUGUUGCAUAUCUUAACCCCGCUGCUCCCGUAAGCGCGCAAUAAACAGGACUUGCUCUUGCCUUCAACUCUCAAUCAGGGUCGAGCAAACAAACCUUGUGAGUUCUGUUGCCGCAAAGGGGAAGUCUAGUGAACCUUAAGAAUGCUUUGGAAGCCGGUAUAGUGAACCUUAAGAAUGCUUUGGAAGCCGGUAAGAUUAAUAAGAAAGGGAAGAGCUGUGUAUUUACUCCGUUCUAUCCAAGGACCGUGUACUCCAUAAUGAUAAUCCAUUCAUGGUUGACUCCGCGCUCUCCACAGAAUCCAUUAUUUCUGAAGCUACUGUUAUCGGUGCUAACUCUCCCCGGGGUGCCCAUCCAUAAAUGGUUGACUUUCCAGGGUGUCCCUAUUUAGCUUACUUUCGGGGAACAAGUCACACUUACUUUACUUGUGCUAACAUGUGUUCUUUGAAUGGAAGAAAUCCCUCUCGCAUAUUAUUGAAUAAGAGAAUUGAGGCUCAAGCAUAAGCCGGAGAAGAAUCAUAAUAAGGAAAGUGUUAUACAGAAAAGGAAGCAGUGCUUGUAAAGUAAACGAGAGAAGAAGUAGUGUCAUCCGUAUAAGGAGCAGGUGAGGAAGUUAGAGUUAAUGAUGGUGCUCCUACUCGGGCAGUUCCACUGUUCUUGUUCUAGGAUCAGAAGUAGGAGAAGUCAAGUCGACAAAAGAUGGAGCUGGAUCUGAAGCAGUGCUAGGAAAGUCGAAGUCAAGUUCUGAGAAAGAAGGAAGUACUGGUGUGGUGGGCGCUAAGCAAGACUCUUACUCGUUAUUGUGAAACAGGUGCUUUCGGGUUGGAUUGGAGUAUAGAGUAGUGCUAGAGCAGCUCUUUUAGUAAGUUGUAACGCAAAGCAAGGAAUAGACUAAUAGAAAUACGUGAUAUAAUGAGUUCUGACAAGUCAAGUCUUUGCCUGCUCUUUAAGUAAGUUGUAAGAAGAAAGUACACUUAGUUACUUCCAAAACAGCUAAACUCAAAAUCCAAACCAAUGAAGAAAGGACUAGUAGUUGCUUGCACUUAGUCACAUUCGCCUGCUUGUCUGGCCAACUCGGUAGGUGCGAGGAUCCAAGCAAGUAUUAGGGCUACCUUACACUUGGGGCUACAGGUAUACCAAGGGACAACCAUCUUUGUGAGUAUCGGUAUUUUCACUAUGAUUUGAGUUCGGGGGUGAUAGAACUCUCUUAAAUACCCGAGCGAUAGGACUCCGGCGGUAUAUGACAUGACGAAUGUCAGGAUUCAUUCGAUUGGGGGCUGGCUUCUCGUAAGCUUCAUUAGCGAUAUCGACGGAUCACCUGCGAGCACCGAUGAAGCUAGAAAAGAGAAAGAGUGAAACGGGUGCAACGACACCAGAUAAGAAAGAAUCUUACCCAUAGAAUAAAAGAAAGGCGCUAAAGUAUAAAGCGGAGUGAAAGGGCACCACAAAUGCAAGGGAAAGACCCGGACAUGGAGCGGGAGAAGGAUAAGAAGUCACAUCAAACCAGAAUUCUCCUAUUUGAUUCAGGCAGUCGUCCAAAGUGGCCUUAGGGACAGGACAUCAUGGAUCGAAUCCCACCCGGUUCGGUUCCAAAACAAGAUAACGGAUCAGCUCUGUGAUCGACAUCCCACUCUUCAUUCAUGAAUAAAGGAUAAAGCGUCGCUUUCAUUACAUAUCAAACCUUGAGAAGACCGACCCGAUCCUCCAGCCAGAAUCGAAUGGUAGUCUAAUUCAGAUAGGUCAGGUUCAUAAACCCUUGUUUUUAUGGUAGAAAGAUGCCAAAAUCAGAAUCAAGAAAAAAGGAUGAUCUGCAGUUUCAUACGACACCGGGGAACUCCAGGAAGGGGAUUAAGGCCAAAAGGGUAUUUCUUUUCAUUCCAUUCAAAAUGCUUAGGUUCUUCCCAUAGGUCUUCGUCACACAGAUCUUGGAUUUGAUAGAGUUUGUUCCUUAGCCUGCUUAGAGAGGAUCGAUUCUCUUACUUGAUACGUUAAAGUAUAGCUGCUACUAUGUUGGGUUUUUCUCUCUUGUUCAGAUGUUAACUCAUGAACUUCCUAGCUUCAUUACCUCCGCCCAAAGAAAGGCUUUCGCAGCUGGGCAUUUUCACUAUUCAAUGAAUAAUAGUAGCUGAUUGUUUAGCCAAUGAUGGAUUUCGCGCUAAGGAAUGGAUCAAAUCACUUCUGACGUUUCCAAUACCGACCUCCCGCUGUUAGUACUUUGACCCCCCUUUUCUUGUUCGAAGUCAAUGAAUUCCUUUCUAUUACUAGAUUAUUGUCGGAAAUGCUUGAAGCGUGUAUGGAUAUUUCCGUUAUUUAGGAGGUAGGUUUUCGGUUUCGCCUUUCCCUUUGGGCUUUCUCUUCUUAUGUAGUUUAAGAUACAACUUGGACUUUUGGAAUGGUAGAAUUCUGUAGAAAAGCUAGUACCUCGUUAGCAUUGCAACAACACGAAUAGAGAGCGAGAUACUGAAAGAAUACUGGAAGACUCUGGUUAGUAGCGCUCUCUCCAAGUGUUUUAAGCGUUUGCCUUGUCUCUUACUUGCAUCUAAAAGCACGAAGUUUUACCCUAAUCUUAUUAUAGGGGGCGUGGGUGGGGAACAAUACUUUUUCUUUUUCUUAUUCUCCCGCUUCUGGUUGAACUCUCACUCCCAAUACAGAGACCCUAGUAUACCUAUUCGUUUUUAAGCCGUGUUCUUAGUUUCCAUGGUCACAGAACUUAUUGAGGUAGCGAAAUGCUCUGAUAAUGCUUUGACGCCUAGAAUCUUGACUUUCUCCCUUCCUGGUAGCGCCUAUCAUUUAGGAAUGUACCUAGAAACUCCAAGUUCAGAAUGGAAUUGCUUCCCGUUAGCACCUAUCAUUUAGGAAUGUACCUAGAAACUAGAAGAGAAGUUCAGCCCAAUAACUCCUGCCGCGGCAGGGCCGCUAGUUCCCGAAAGACUACUUUGAUUUAUCCUUGCUCGGCCCAUACUAUUUCCCUACUAAAUGAAGUAUUUAUCUUAUAUUAGGAUAAUGUUUAGAAAGACCGAGCAACUACUGUUCUUGUUAGAUUGGAAUUCCGUAUUAGUAGUGGUAUGGUCCAGUGGGGUUGGUGCUCUAGCUCUAAGUCAUAGGGGUAGGUUUUUGGUAUACAAGUCCUGUCUUCGUAGAUGUUUUCACGGGUCAGGUCGGUCAGGUUUCUCAUUCUAUUGGGAACACAUAUGCUAGGACUUCCUUUAGCUUUGAUUCUGUUUUCUUGUAUCGGUUUAUUUCAGGCAUCUCUAUUAGAAGCUAGUCUUUCCAUUAGGGCUGCAUUCCCAUAUUCAAGGCAAGGGGAAAGCUACAUAAGAAAAGCAUGCUUCGGAGAGUUUUGAUUCAAGGCAGAAAUGUCAAAAAAGUCAAAGAACCCUCCCUUCCCGCAAGAAAAAUCCAUAAGGCUAGGCUAUACCGCACGGGAUUUGCAUUCCCAUAUAUCUCGACUCUCGCCUUCAACGGACAGCAGAGAGGGGCUUUUUGAUUGAGGUAAAGAUUAAACACUAUUACUCUAGAUUAGAAUUGCUUGCGGUAAGGUAAGCUAAGCAUAGGAUUUACCCGGGAAUGCAACUGAAAACUACCAGAAUUGACUACUACACCCGAGGACCCAAACGCAUAAGUAAGCCUGCCACCAUGCCCUUGAGCCCGCCCUUCCUAUCCAAUUAAUAUUCUUAUACUAACUGAAACUAUCACUACCUUUACUUGGAUUUUGAAACAGCUAAUGAAAAGACUGCUAUGCCUAUUGGUCUAUCCUAGAUUACUUAUAUUAUUUCAUUCAAUAAAGAUCUCUAACCUUGCUUUACAAGCUAUUGGUCUUACUAUCCUGGCUUUUGUCCUGUAACUAGUGACUUGGAUUUGCAUACCCUUGUUUGAAUUCUUCGACGACUAACUAUUAUAAUGUAACUAGGGCAUACGAGCCCGGCACUACUUGUUUUAGGCUAUUGUUAUUAAGAAGGAGGCUAUGGGGUUGUGUUGGAGAGCACGCCGGUUUGGGUAGUGACUACUUGAAUACUACGUUACUUAGCUUUGGGGAAACAAUUCUUCUAUCACUUAUGAGAACCAAUGAUUCUAUUACUUGGCUUUGGAACCAAUGAUUCUAUUACUUGGCUUUGGAACCCAUUCUGAUAUUGAUAUUACUAAAGACACCCACGAAGCGGUAACACGACAUCUGAAAUUAGGAACAUAUGACACACACCUACCCACGGGAGAAACAAACACAUCUAGUAGAGUGGGCCGGUAACUCAUUAUUUAAGUGGAGCCGAUCAUUCACCCAUGCUACGAAGGUCCCGGGGCAUAUAAAGUACCUCGGUAAUUCAUUGAAGGGCCGGGCAACGAGGUUAGGUCAACUGGUCUAGGGGUCGAGCAACAAUAAAUGUAUGCAGGAAAACACACUCUUCGAGUAGGGUCACUCGGUCUUUGGGGAGCACAACUCCGUCUAAGAGGAAACAAUUGACCGAACACCGGUACAAGAGAUCCAUCGUCAAUGAAAUAGUACUUGCGGGGUUGAUACCACUUGUGGCUAAGCAAAUCGAAGAAAAUACGAAUCAAUCUUAUAUAAGUCAACUUAAUAGUAAUCUUAUAUAAGUCCCACUUAAUAGUGAAUUUCAGAAAGAAAAGAUAGAAUUCCAAUUCUAAGAAGAAGAAUUAUGUUUACCUAACACCGGCACCACCUGCUCUCCAAUGAAAUGAAAAAGUGUUCCCGUUGCUACAAAAAGAGAAUAGAAGUCCCCCUUUUUCGAUCACAUUUACCUAAGAAAAUAGAUUCAAAUAGAAUAUGAGAAAACAUAAGUAACCAGCCAGAAGUAACCAGAAUCAGAAAUAGAAGACAAAAUGAGACCCAUUAAAGAGAGAAUGAAAGCAUGGAUAGUUAGAAUGAGAUCGAGAAAAGGAAGCCAAAGGGACGGGGGGCUUAUUUGAAAUACAGAUAUGAGAUCAGUAGUAAUACAGAUAUGAGAUCAGUAGUGCCGGUCAGGAGUUUCGGAGUUAGAUAAGGGAUCGACAGAGUGCAAGAAGGGAAUGGGAAUGUAGCUAACGAGCAUAGGCCUGUGAACCGGGUAAACACCACUUAGGAUCCGUAUUAGUCCGCUUGUCACCGGUUCGAUUCUUUUAGUUAGUAGUUACAGGACAAAAGCCAGGAUAGUUAGAAUCAAAGUGAGCAGUGGUAGUGUUGGAGUUGGGAGUUACAGGCCAAUAGGUGAAAUACAUAUUUUUAUGCCGGGGUGAAAGCCUGGGGUCCAAGUUCAAUCUGAUAGUCAAAAGAGGUGCACUAAAGUCCUAGAAGCAGUAAAGUAAUAUCGAUAGGGUCAAAUCUGAAUCAAAGGCUAGGGUUGCAGAACGAGAGACAGGAAAGGUAGUCUUUUCGGGAGUAGUUGGUUUCCGAGUUGCUUGUUUCAAUCUUGUUACCCAGGCAGUAAUUCCUUAUUCUAAGAUCAAGUAUGAGAAGCGCUGACUCAAGUCAGAAUCAAAGACAACCUUGGUAUCGGUAGCUAAAGCCUUUUCAUUUUCUUAUUUUAUGAUGUUUAAGUCUCCCAUGAUAACCCAUAUAGAGAGUUAGUGCUUGAUGAUACCAUCGCCAAAGCUCGAUUCUUUCCAGCACAGAAUGAGAAUAGAAAUCCAAUAGAGAGCCCGGGCAUACUGCUAUAUGAGAAUGAGCUGUCUUUGUAUUGGAGUAUAAAAUGUAUAAGAUUGGAGCACUUUCUUGCUCUUUUCUCCUUUUUUUCGACAUGAGUUGGGCUAACGGGACAAGGAGUUUUUUCAGGUUCAAGUCAAAAGGGUCUUAAUCCAAUGGAGAAGAUAAGAUUCCCGGCUAAAGUGCUAGUUCCUGUAUUUGCUGAUGACGAAGAAGGCGAGGUAAGGAAAGCAAACUAAAGAGAAGCGUGCAGGAUCAAUCAAACUGUGAAAAACCUUAUGCUCACAAAGAAAAGGUCAUGGGUUUUGUCGAGACAAUAAAAGUGUGUGGGAAAGAUCAUAUCCAUCUAGGGGCUUCAGCCUCCUUUCCUGAGCGCUAUGCUCAUUAUUAGUAUCUUGAUUAGUUUCAAUACACCUUCUCUGGAAGUGUAUUAGUUUCUUUUUGAUACCUUCUCUUGAGGAGCCUUCUCUUCCUUCGGCAAACAAGCUAAGGCUUUCGGGAACAGAACUCACUGCUUUCUCAUCAAAUAGAUUGUAUACUGUAUCCUAGAAUAGAAGCUAUGUCCACCUCAUCAAAUAGAUUGUAUACUGUAUCCUAGAAUAGAAGCUAUGUCCACCACCCCAUACGACUAAUACUAAAUAGAGAGGGCCUCGUGGUUCUCGACCAGUUACAUCUGCUUCGCCUGCUCGUCAAGAUAUUACAUUAAUCUAUUCGCUGUUAUUUGAGCAAGGAGUUGGGGCACACAAUAAGUUCCAUUGUACUGCAAAUGGAAGAAAUCAUUCUCACAAAUAACGGGAAGAAAUCAUUCUCACAAAGAUCAUCCACAACUAAAGGUACUGCGACGCCUGCUUGAACUUCUGCCCCUCCUGUUGUCUCCGUUGCUAUGGGGUUGUCCUCCGCACCAUCUCUAUCUGUCCAACUAAGGUGUCACUGGACUUAAUAAAGCUACUUAUACCUAACCUUGUCCAAGCUUGAUCUUCGACCGACCUCUAUCGCACUUAUUGUUAUUUUAUGGAGUUGCCUCGAAUAAUAUGACUGGUAAUGGCUGGCUCUUUGUUACAUGGCACAGCUGCUCCUCGCCCUCUAUCUUCAUGAUGGAUCCAUCUUAAUUGGAUCUUAUAGUCUUGGUUCUAUUCGUUCGUCUCCAAAAUCCGCCCUUCUCUUUCUUAUGGUCUGGAAUUGGAACUAAUCAAAUAUGUCCGUUGGCAAAGUAGUGAAUCCAAAAUAAUAGGUAAUGUCACAUAUCAUAAUACAUCUAUUAAUCUUAUUUAUUUGUGCAGGACCUACGAACCGGGACAACCGGGAAGCUGAUUGGUAGAGACCAUAUAGUCGGCCACCUGUUUUAGGCUCAGUACUCCCUAACGAACUUAGAAUAUGGUAACUCCACUCAAGACUCUUCACUAGACGUAGACGAGAGAAGGAGCCAAAGAAGAAACGGAAUCCUUUCUAAGAAUUGAAGAUAAGAGUAUGAAGUCAAAGGAACUACAGCAACCAGAUAAGAGUAUGAAAUACAAGGAGCUACAGCAGGACAGGACGGAAAGAAUAGGAACAAGGAAGGGCUUGCUUCACUUGAGUUCCGAGUUAAGAGUUAGAACAAGCAAGUGGUAGAUCAGCAACAGUAAGGGUAGAAAGAAAGUACAGAUUAUAGGCUACAAAUGAACUAGAGCAGCCAACAAGCCGAGAAGAAGCUAAAGAAGGAGCAAGAUCAACAAACGGUUUAGAAGGAGCAAGAUCAACAACCAACCGGUUUGAAAGAUUGCAGUACAGUCGACGGUGUUGGCGCAGCUGCAAACGAGACAGGAGGACCGCGCGAAGAAUCAAUUCCUUCUGAUGCUAAUACGGUUCGAGCUUGAGUAGAGUAUCUUUCAUCCCAACAAGCAGACAGAGCAAAAGAGAUAGAGAAAAUGAAUGAUUUGUGACAAGAAGAGAAGAGAUGGCCCCUUAUAUACAAGUGAACAGGACUCGGUAUAUUAAUUAGUAGCGGUAACUAAUAACUGGCUUCUGAAGCACUAACUGAGCUGAGUUGAGUAAAAAGAGCAUAAGUUGCAGUCUUGUUCGAGGUUUUGAAGCGAAGCGUUAACGGGAGUGAGCUUACCUUAGUUGUCGUAUAUAGAAUAGAAUGAGUGGACCUACUUACUAUAGAAUGAGCGGACCUACUUACUGCAAAGCAAUGUUACAUUUUCUGAGUGACCCCGAGACUAGAAAGAAGCCUUAAGAAGCGGUUUGCCCAGCCCUAUCAAUUGGUUUUUCUCUUCAUGUGCCCUCUUCAACCCUUUCAUAAUGCAAUUGCAAGCAGUACUCUAAGCUUAUACUAUUCGAUUCCAUAAAAGAGCCUACUCUAAGCAGCAUCAGCUAAGAUCAAAUCGUCUGUUGUGCCCGGUCUGUUGCGGGCUAUCAUUCGUAUCUUCAUUGGUAGUUAAGUUACUUGCAUAAACAGGAAAGUCAGAAGUCCCCUAUUCUGGAACACCCUACUUUAUUCAUUUACGAUUACCCUUAUUUUUGUCCUUACCUGCAAACUUCUCAUUUGAGAGAGCGUAAAUAAAGUCCUCUGCCUGCUGUAAGGCCCAAGCAAGGAAAGAAGGGCGGGAGACUCAAAAAGAUGGGUUAGCGAGGCGGGACGAAAGGUUUGAAUUGAUUGAGAAGGACUUGGCCCUAUCGUCAAUCGCCGGUCAAUAUUCUUUCUUUCUACUAUACUAGUUAUCCAAUAAGAGGAAUCGGGGACGGCACUUAGUUUUGACAUUCUUUCUUCGUUGGUACCCCAGAACAAUAGUCAGUAGUCAGGUAUAGCCAGUAGUUGGCCUUAAGCCUAGCAGUGUUACGGAAUCGUGUUCAGGCUCUUAGCACCUUUCUGUAAAUAUCAAGUCUGAAUGUACUUAUCUCUAAGAGAAUGGCUUGCCCCCACAUGUUUUAGAUCUAGAAUCGAAGAGUCAACCCUCGGAUGCCGGUCUUUCACUCCGUGAAGGCUUUACAGAGAACUAGGCUUUUAGCUUCAUUGGAUAAAGGCAGAGAUCACACUGGUUUGUAAUUGCUUUCUUUGGCUGUCACUUCAUUCAUCCGUGAUACCGAAGGCCUUUUCAAAAGCAUCUUUUGAUCCUGUUUUCUCUGCUUUAGGGUAAUCAAACUGUCCCAGAGCAGAAUAAAUGGCAACUAUACUAGUGAGUCAUUUCGUACUUAUGUCGUUGGGGAGCGGAAAUGGCACAGCAAGAAGAAAGAACAACCGAAAGUCUUCGACUUACCUCUAGCAUUUUCUUCUGUAGCUAAUACAACUGAUGUUGCUUCAUCUCCUUUCCCAUCCGCCCGGGGAACCGAGUCCUCUUUAGUUAUUAAUGAAUUGGCUGCUUCAGAGGAUACCACUUAUGUAACUGACUCAGUAGAUGGACGAGACCAACCUCUUUCACCGAGCCGAAAAGUCUGCGUUGCCAGCUGCUUGUUGAAUUCUAUUACAAGGCUCGCACCGCCCUAACCCGAACUCUCUAGGGAACUCUCCUUUCAGAACCGCUCACUCCAAAGCGAACUGCUUACUCUCCACUUUAAUAAUUCGCUAAUGUAGCUCACCUUCUUUUUUGAAUGGAAUCUCUCUCUUUCGCCUGUUCCAACAUUUUCUACCGCAUACCUUCCCUUUUGCUGACCUCUACUUUCCGUUGAAGUUCCUUUCCUUCUACUGAUCUUGAUUCUGAUCUAUCUUUAUGGUCUUGCUUCCCCACCUUCUCUUACAUCUUCUGGGCUUCCAUCGUAGACUUCACUGUCAACCUUUCUUUGGACCACUACUGGGGGCUCAGUAUACCCAACAAGAGCUCAGUAAGCGAGAUCACCUUUUGCCGAACAAUCUCUUUCUUUCAACUGAGUCUGAUCCUAGAACGAGAACACUCAAUGAGUUCUUAAAGCUAUGCAAUGGUUGGUUCCUUUUGAUUCUAUAUAUGUGUGUGAGUGAGAUUCAACAAGCAACUCAUACUUAAUUAACGCCUUAGGAAUGAUUUCUUUUCUUUUGCGUUUCGCACCCAGGCGCUAAGACUUAUUCGUUAGUGGUGAUUUGUAUCGUUAGUAGUGAUUUUGAGUUUCGCAGUGUUUUGUUACUUUUAUUAUAUCACAUAUGCCAUAUAUGCUAAAUAAAGAGGCAUGUAUGCUUUCCUUUUUCCCCUAAUGCCAUAUAGGCUCAAAAGACAGAGGUUGGCCCACCAAGUAGUUUCGUUUUAGAAGCAAAGCAGUGUUUUUGACUCUUUCUUCCAUAAGGACCAGAACCAGAAGAUCCAUUCUACCUAGCAUAAGAUCCAUUCUAUCUAGCGCCAUCAGCCAAUCUGUCAAGCGCCAUUAGCCAAUCUGUCAGCCGAACCUCCUCUCGCCCUUACUUAUUAAUAUUAAGGCUUUCUUAUGAGACCCCUAUUGCUACUGUACCUCUGGCUCAUCUAACUACAUUUCUUUGAUACCGGAAUGAGGCUCCUCUACCUCCUUAUUCUUCCCUUAGCUUAGCUCCGGUAGGCAUGAGAACUGAAUAAGUCCUGUAUUAAGGGUUGGUUAGUGACUUUUUCUUUCUAUUACACGCCUCCCCUUCCCUUAAUGUUACUUCAAUGAGUGAACCACUCCCCUCGACCUAGACCACUCCUGUUUCUAUUAGUCUCGACCUAGACCACUCCUGUUUCUAUUAGUAAAGUAACCUAACUCUGAUACUAAGAUACAAACUGAACUCUUGAACUCCCUAGUAAUUCACUCCUCUUUCUUGCCAGUUACCAGAGGUGGAUGAUAAAGCUGCUUGUUCAAUAAGGUAUAAAAGAAGAAAUCUACUAUCUGAUUUCCCCAACUCGUAAACUAGGUAUUCCACGGGAGCAGGUAUAGUUAGAUUAAGGGGGAGGAGUUACAGAGUUACCGACAAAAGUGAAGUUAAAGAAACCUAUCGAAAUUCCAUCUUAUAUAAUAAAGAUCCAAGAUUUCACUCAUAAGAUAGAUAGAAAGUUGGAAUGUAGGGAAUUGUCCUUCCCGAGCCAAGAAAUGUAGGGAAUUGUCCUUCCCGAGCCAAGAGUAGUUAACCAGUCUCUUUGAAACCAACCCGUAGUACUGUUAUAAUACCUAUUGCUCUACUUUCUUUCUUUCUUGAUAGGCCUAGUUGCUAAGGAGCUUUCUGAACCUGAACCAAUUGUUGUUGCUCUGAACCAGAACCACUUGUUGCUGACUGACCUCUAUCUCUUGCCAAUCAAUACUAACCUCACUCCGGAGUGUAGCCCCGGGCUUCCCUUAUCUUUAUUAUCCUGCACCACCAGCAUCUUACUUAAACAAACCCUUCAACUACUCCUGUGAAGAAUAGCUUCCCGCUUCAAAGCCUGUACUUUAGAACCUAUAUCUCCACCACUACAUUAAGGGGCAAGCAAGAACAAAGAGCAAUGGAAUCCCUAGUUUCAUCCGGUAUCGGUCAUCCUAUAUAUAGAGAAAUACUGAAUUUAGUAGUUUCAUAGUAGGGACCAAGCAACUAGGCAUGUAACUUAUAAUGUGCAGCGUCAGUGAACUCGUUACGCGUUAGUGUGAGAGGCGUGGAAGGGAGCUCCAAAGUAGUUGAGGUAGUUGUGGCCUGGCCCAGUUAGAAGAAGUAGAGUGCCCCUCCUAGUAGAAGAAGUAGAGUGCCCCUCCUAGCCCGAGGUAUUAUAUAAGAGAGUAGCCCGCAGUAUUCUUUAUUUCUUGAUUUCUGUAUGUCUUUCUUUAUAGCCAUAGCCUCUACUACCCGAGUAUUGGAAUAAAAUCACAAACACUAAAAUAACUAGAAGAAAGGAGAAACUAGAAGUUAGAAACUACAAGCAAGUGAGAAACUACCAAGUAUGAGUUAUUACAUGUUAUGUAAAGUCCUGUAUUCAUCUCGUAUACUGCCUCAGUAGACACUAAGUAUCAAAAAAGCCAUAUCAAAAUAGAUGUUAUUAUUAAGGAUAAAGUAACUACGAAACUACUAGUUGAAGGGCGAAUACAGAAACACUCAGGAUUCACAGACAGGACUUGGGACAAGUGAUCUUAGCGCUACCCAUAUUGUUAGAAAGCAAGAUAGGUCUCCCCCCUCGUAUUUGCUUGUCUCAGUAAGUUAAGUAAAAGCUCCAGCACCCAUACCCCGUAAGUCAAGAUAGGCUGUUUAUGACUCUUGAGAGCGGAUUCCCUAGUUUCAUUAGUUAUCCUUUAGAAAUAUCAGAUAUAAUUAGUAGGGGCCCAGCAACAAACUACUAGGUUUCAUCCAUUGUUUCAUCGACAAGUCUUGUUCGUUCGGUCAGGUCAACAUUGUCUCCCGCGCCUCCCUAUAACUACUUAUCUAGCCUAUCAUAGUUACCGCAAGACCUAUUUUUGCUUCUUGAAAUCCUGUGUUCGCCUGUUCGUGGGAGUAUAGAGCUUAACUGUAGUAGUGAGUUCAAAAGGAUACUUAUUUGCGUCUAGGGUGGAAUCUGUCUUUUAUACUUUCUAAAGAGAAUAUAUCAUAGAUAAGAAAUAGUAUAAUAGAAGGAAUGCCCUAAUACAUAAUUGCUAGUGAGCUGGCGGUUAGACGCACCCCCAAGAGAUUAUCAACUUGCUUCCUUCCUUGCCUGUAAGAUAGUCUGCCCCCUUAAGGCUCGUAAACUUGCUUCCUUGCCUGUAAACUUGCUUUCUUUCCUGUAAGAUAGUCUGCCCCCUUAAGGCUCUUCUAAUGCUUUGAUGCCUAGAAUCUGGACUUUGGAACUCCCUUUAUGGGCCGAGUCCACCAGUCAUUUCUCUUAGUAAGCGCCUCUUGUCAAACAUUCCAAUUCAACAACUAUCCCUUUUGCACUAGGAAUGAACUAUCCCUUUAGCACUAGGAAUUGAAGAAAGGAUACUCGAACACUACAAGCAAGAUUCGGGUUUCAAAUGAACUAGAACAGCCAGUAAGUACCAACAUAGGCUUGCCUAGUAGCUUGGCAGACUUGGAGUUGCCGAUCCACCUGUUGCUUCAACUCAAUUCUGAGUGUUUCCCAUAAGGCUAGGGACUCAUACUAGGCUAUUAUUACUUAUCUCGGAGAGCAAGGUGCUGAAAGCCUUAUACUUGUUUGUUUCAUUCUGACUUUAGAGUGGAGUGGAGAGCGCAUGGUUAGUUCCCUGAAUCUUAUUAUACCCGGAGAACUCUUCUGUUUCAGGACUUAGCGCAGAAGCCUGAAAAGCCACAGCAUCCCGAUAACUAUAACCAUCUUGACAAUCUGAUACAGCAAUAGCACAACUACUCCUGUUAGCGCAAAUCAUUCCACAACUUUGACUUUUGCCACUUAUACUGGGCCACUCAUCCUUCUCCCUAACCUUAUCCAGCAGCAGUUUUGGCCUCUUCUGAGCUUAAGCAAGAUCCUUAUACCUGCUUUAUACCCGGAUUCGGCAUCUUAUCUUUCCACUGAACAAGCAACUUCAAGUAAUAACACACGACAGCAUCAUUUCCUGACUUUUCAUCUUAUCUUUCCACUCGUAUAAAGUACUUCGCCCCCUUACUUAAUACUUCACUUCUUCUGUAGCAGCUGAUCAGGAUACGGCUUCUGGAACAAUACUUUAUCAAGCUUAUGAUCUUGGGGCGGGAUACUCCACUCUUAUAGCCUCAGAUCUUUCUUACCUUUGUUUAGCACUUGGUAUAUAAGGAAGUAAAUACACAGCUUCUUUACUAUUUCAUCUCUUAUUUCUUCUUGGAAAACGGACCAAGUAACUACAGGAUGUUGAAUAAGUUCCUCUGCUCCGAGUAAAUGGAUUGUUCCGCUGGAGCUCAAAGUAGUGUAGUUAGAAAGUGAGCUAAAGAAUUGCCUGUUCUAAAGUAAGCAGCAUAAAGUCCCUGGCCAAGUAAUUACAGGAAAUUAUUUGCAUGGAGUCUAUUACACCCCCUAGGAAAAGAAUAAAGCAAGUAAGACGAACACUAGCGGCCCUUUAGCCAUGAAUGAGGGAAGGGCGGUCUACUUCAUACGAGAUAGGUGCUUCUUCUCUACGAGUUCGACAGAAUUGAAUUGAGUGUUCCCUAUGAUAGAAAGAAGUCAAAAAAACAAGAAACUCAGGAACUAAGAUAGGGGAUAGUGUUUCGGCCACUCUAAAAGGGAGGGCUUCUGGGAAUCUCCAACUUGUUCAUGCGAACUAUCAUUUCGUUAGCGAGUUCAUUGUCAUCGGCGUUAUGGAGUUCGACAGAAUCGUCUUUUCACAGCCGGACUUGCAUUAUAUGCUAUAUAUACCAAAGACGUUGCUUGUUGAAGAGAAUUGCCUGUGUAACGGAGCUUUGGAAGAAUAUACUGGUUCCAAAAGCGGUAAGCAGUGCUUGUCAAGUCAACUAUACUAAAGAAUGAGCUGUACUUGAAAGUCCAGAGGUGCUGUGCUUGUCAAGUUAACUAUACUAAAGAAUUAGCUGUGCUUGUAAAGUGUAGUUCUGGUAAAGAAUAAAGUCAUGGUAUUUCUAAGUUGAAAGCAUUUAUUCACAGAAAGGAUAGGUCGGAUGCUAGGAAGGUAGAGUGAGUUCAGAUAGCCUACCGAUCUGAGUCUGUUAAGGGAGUAAGUGUAGCUAAGGCUUCUAGUUGUUGACAGUUAAAAAACACAUAGCGCCAAGCAACAUAGAAGUUCUAAUGAGUUAUUCCUGAGUCCUAUACAAGGCCUACGGGACGGGAAGGGAGUUCCUGUCUUAUAGAACAUAGAACAUCAGUGAAGAAAUGAAGUUAGAACAUCAGUGAAGAAAUUCUGUCUGUCUUUGUUUACUUCGGAUCAACUGUCUUUACAGCGCGGUGUACUGAUCAUACGAGCGAGUGUAGUUCCUUCGACGAGAAAUAAGUGUUCUUCAGACAACACCGAUAAUUGCCCAACUUCAUUUCAUAAUAAUACUCUAAGUCCUUCAUACUCGUUUCUUUCUGCUCUUGUUGAAUCAAGAGUAAGCUGAGUCAGCGCAGUGUUCUUUCUCCUGCUUUACUUCAGAAUGGAAGAUGUUGCACGUAAACAUAGUGUCCCGCUGUAGCUUCAAGUGGUAGAAAUAGGUUCCAGUGUUGGUAUCUAUAAGCUCAUCUAUCUCUUUUCUCUGACCAAAUGACAUGAGAAAAGGCCCGCUCUCUCAAGCAGAACAGGUGAGGUGGUGCGUUAAGCAUGCAGUAAACAGAACAAGCAAGGUGCUAAGAGCCAAGGCCAUAAUUGAGUACUUUUGUAUAGGGUUCGGCUGUCAACUGCCUAUGGAGAUGAUUUUCGUAAACCAGCAAGGGAACCAUCCAGAUUAGAUGCUUGAGACGGCGCUAAUAGAGUGGUAGUUCAGUUAAGGGAAAAAGUGAGUCGUGGAGAAUGGAGUUUCACAGUGACAGUUCUUGUUGUUGUCGACGAGAUAAGAUUCGAAAGUGGAGUUUGAGUGUUGUCUAGGUUCGGUGCUAGUUUCAUCGCAAGUCCUGUGUUCGGAAACUAGAAGUAAAACACCAGACUCUAAUAGGCAUUUCAAAGGGUAAGGCAAAGAGGGCUUUUGGAACUAAACUACUGAGAGCUAGACACUAACACCACAAUAAACUCUCUAUACCGACCCUAACUCUACUACUCUUAACAACAAGCAAACUGUCAAAUAGCCAGCCCAUUCUCUAAGUUGAACCCAUGUGUAACGUUACUUAUGAUUACCUAUGUUGCCUUCGUUACGCCUCUUGACUCUUGAAAUGCAUUUCUUCCUAAUAUACGGAAUUAGUUUGCUUUGCGCUGGUCCUACUGGUCCUAUAAGAUUCUUCUUUGCGCUUUGAGGUCGAGAGAUAGAUUCUUUGAGUGCAAGGCCAGAUAUCUUCUUUGAUUGGAAAUUGAAUGCAAGGUUGACCUUCUAACGCGUUGUAUUAGUUUACACUGGCCCAACCAACCCUAGAGAUCGAAUACCAGACUGCACACGCACGGCCUCACAGCUUGUUGAAAGCUUCUAACACGAGUUCUCUUAGCAGGGGUUUCAAUGGAUUUCUAUGUUACUUUAUACUUGGAAUCGCAACGAGAUAACUGAACUUAGAAUUAGGGUAAGGGACUGAGCAUCAUAAGGCAAUGCAAUUCAAGUCCAAGGCAAGCAGAGGUGCUAAGAGCCUAUUUCUACGACAAGGGAAGGCGGCACAAACACCUAUUCUUCUAGAAUGACCAAUUAGCCCUACUCUUUAUACUGAUCUCUACUCUUAACCUCGAAGAUAAAUACAAUCCUAUUUCCCUUUGGAACAGGCAAUUCUCUUAAAGUCGACUAAACAGCGGAUUCUGUUACUUCCUACCCCCAAAACCGUAUAAGAUCAUCUCUGGAUGUGGUAGGUAAGACCUCUUGCACACCUUACGAAAGCUGGAAUAUAUUAGUGCUUGUUACUAAGUUAGUUCAUAAGAUAUUCUUUUCUGGCCUUUCUUUCUUAACUCCCUUAACUGACAGAGACCUGAACAAAUACUACUUAAAGCUAUCAACUGUCCUAAGAAUUCAUUUCGAAUCUAUCUAUAGCAGAAGCAUAGGAUCUAUCUAAUGGCAGGAAUAGAAUCCAUCGAGCGCUCAGCUCCCCUAUACAAUAAGGCAGCCAAUAACUUAUCUUGCAACUUACACUCAAACGGAUCCUGAUAAGACUACGACGGAAGAUGAUUAUUCUAGAACAGGUCGAGUACACCGCGCUCUCUGUACCCGAUUAUGAGUGGAAGGCUUGAACUUCAUCUUGAGAGUCGACCAACACAAACGGAAUGAAUUGACUUAACGGCAACACCCCUUCCUACCCAAUUCAAGUAGAUAUGAAACCCCUCCACUCCACCUUUACCGCGGGCAUGGGCUGCAUACUUUUCUCUUAUCUUAUAGGGCGCACCGGACAAGCAAGAAAUGGAGUGACCAACAAGAGCUACGGUUUAUACCCCCAAUAUGGACUUGAGAUUGACAGCCGGCUCUGCUCUAUCUGUUGACUCUAAUGCUAUAUGCGCAUCCCGUACUCCACCAGCUCCUGCAGAAGAUCUUGAUUCUUAUCCCGUUCCUUAUUCGGCAUCUUAUCCUGCUGGUGCUUAUGAUCCUGGAAGUUCAUCAUUUCUUUGAAUCUCCUCUUGAGCACUUGACUUGUUUCUUGCUUCAGUACUAAGAGCUCCAAUCAACAUAAUGACCUACUGGGGAAACGGAAAACUCUAGGAAUUGACACUCUGUUAGCGAUGUAAAGAGAGACUUGUAGGGCAAAUCCACACAAUGAAUGAAAUCUAUCGAGCAAUAAAAUCAAUUGACCUAGAAACAGCUAGCGCACUUGUUCUUGCCCGAACUGAACUCCCUAGGCUUGUUCGUCUUCUUAGGUCUGGACCUGGCAAUACUUAAUGCUUAAGCUUCAAACAGUCAUCUUUCGAGCGGUCAACUCGCUAAUGCCGAUAAAACAGGAACAGGACAUUCUCCACUUCACCUUGCCUCCUUGUAAGUAAUAUAUGAUUCCCCGACCCGAACUCUAUUAACCGGCAGACAAUGCUCUUGCCCGAACUCUAAUAGACUUGACUUAUCCUCUAAAUUGAAAGAUUCCUUUGUCGACUCAACUUGACUUACCGCGACAACACCUAGAUCAUAUAGAGAUGUGGAAUCAGACCUCUUUUGAUACCUAAUUGCUGCUUACUUUAGUCUUGCUGCUGCCUUUCCUUACUCAACUGACAAAAAAAGAUAUUAUACACAAGGAGUUAGAAAACUUGACUUGCACAGGACAACGACUAAGCUCUUGAGCACCAGAUAUAGAGUGAAGUAAAUACUGUGCUUCCCUUGACUCAACACUUGAAGAAUAUGAUAUUUAUUGAGGAUUACCCCAGUUAUAUACUCUCAAAGUCAGGGAACAGAAGGUAUAGCCCUUUGGUUUUGCUAAGUUGAAGUCAUGUUCAAGGGCUGUCCUCGUAUAUGUCUUCUCCCAUCAGUUCAAUUAGCUUCACCGUUUUCCUCAGUGCUGGAAAGAUCCGUAUUUGUGUUUGACCACUUCAUAAUUGUCAGGUAAAGUUGAAGAGGCAAGCAGACGAAUGUUAAUAAGUGCAAGCAACGUAGACAAAAACUGCCCUUUUGAGUUCUAUAGCGGGUGUGAGGUAUCGAUUCUAAGCCGGGUGUUACUUAUCGAAAUUCCAUUCAACAAUCAAUGGAACGGAACCAGCAACUUCACCUUGUAGUUACGUUCGAGCAGAAGACAUAAUAUCAUCAGCAGGAGCAGGUGCAGAAGUAAGAGUUGUUGACUACCCUACGGCGCUAACAGGAGUAGUUGACAGAUAUUUAUCAUCAACAAAGAAGGAUUCCACUCGCCCAGCAACGUCCUGUUUUUGUCUUUCUCGCCUACCAUGUGCUCUUUCUCCAAAGUAAUCAUUUCUGAAUUGAGUUUUUCUAAGGAAUAUAAGAAUGGAGGGUGAAGUUACCCUUAAAAUCACUGGGGGUAGGUACUGUUAAAGCCAACAUGGUUGAAAUAGACUCUAGAAGGCGUAUGUUAUGCAUUCGCGAAGCUUGGGAAAAGGAGGAAGAUGGAGUAAGAGAAUAACCUAUGUGUUCAGCAAGAAAACCAAAGAAAGGGGUUGGACCACACCAACUUAUAAGAAGUGGUCUUAUACUCUGAAUCACUAAUACUAUCCAUUCGCAGAUGAAGUGAAGCAACAAGAGAAGUUCCAGAGUGCUUUUCCUGAAUUCGAGUCACUUUAUGAAACCUCUUAUACCUCUUAUACCUCUUAUACCUAGUAUACCUCUUAUACCUAGUAUACUAUAUCUCUGCAAUCAUUUCAUUAUAUCUCUGCAAUCAUUUCAUUCAAGUUAGACAGCUUUCAAAGGCUAGAAGGGAGAAUAGUGCCCUUUGAAAGGAAGAGAAUGCCGAUACUUUUGAACAAUCUCCCAUCGGAAAAUAUGAUAAUAUCUUAUUAGCUUAUUAUCAGAGGACCUGACAAUUGCCCUCUGGAGCUAUCACGGCUACCUAAUAACCCACCCUACUAGUUCUUCUGGAUGAGUUCAAUCGCAAUGUAGCAUGGCUUUGCUUGCCGCGCUUCAACAGAUUGAACUUAGCAGUUUCUUUCACAAGUAGUUCUCAGUCUCGCCUGUGAUGCGUUUGCUUUGCUUACAUGGUUUUUCCCUGGACUGAUUGGAAAAAACAAGUUGGAUUGGUCCCUGCCGCUUUCUCUGGGCGGGCUGAGUCUAGUUGCUUCCGCCUGUUCGAUGGAAGUUUUCGUUCUGACUUCGCCGAGUCCAUCUCCAUUGAAAUCUCUCGCCCUCGUGAUAUCUCUAGGAGGAAAAGAAUCGGCCUACUAUGCUCUCCCCCAUCUAAGCUUUUGAGGGCAACGGGUGGGGAGGCUAGAGGCUCGCUGAAGGUACUUCUGUCUCUCUUGGCCGGCCUAUGAUUGUCCAGUCAGCCUUCUUUCUUUCCUUAAGAGUGAAUGGCCCUCUUGACUACUCCAUCUCUGUUUUGGAAUUUCAUGGGAUGUGUUGAAUAAGUGAAAAAAGGGACUACUUUACCAUCGCAUCGGGAGAGUACCAGGAAAGGGUUCAGGAGGAACCUUAUCUCAUCACAUCGGGAGAGUACCAGGAAAGGGUUCAGGAGGAACCUUAUCUCAUUGAUUCUUUCUCCUCCAAUUCCCCCCGGGAAAGCAAGCCCUAUGAAACCUCUAUUCCAUCAAGCAAACCCCGAACAGCAGGUAUGAGCCCUUAGAUUCUCGGAGUUCUAACCUCGAUUAUAUUCGAAAAUCACUGCCCUUGGCCAAAGACAGACAUCUAGAUCAUAGGAAGAAUCGCCCCAACGCAAAAGACAGAGGAAAAGCAAUAUCUAAAAGAACAUCACUGACGCAAUUGGAAGAUCCGCCUUGGCAGCAGCUAUUCUUCCUUCGUAGACAAAAGAGAUUGAAUACAAGGAAUCCUCUGUUUAGGCUUAACUACAGGAAUCAAACCUAGAAAAGCGAAGGGCAUAGGUCCACUCUUCCUACAUUGAUAGACCUCUUAUCUAUUGAAUAAGAAAUUCACAUCUAUUUGUAUUUCUUUUGAGGAAGAUGAUAAAGAGACUUAUUACCUGGUCCACUAGUACACCGUAGUUAUUCGAAUUUCUCGCGGUGGUGGUUUCCUCAUAAACCCUCAGCUAUAGAUCCAUGGACGUCUCCAUUCAUUUACCUUCUCCUCCACUCGAGGACAACCAAAUCCUCAUCAGUCCUUUUGAUGCGUUCGAAAGAAAGUAGAGGAAAGAUAAGAGUGACCAUUGAAAGAAGAAAAGAUGUUACCGACACAGAAAGAAGAAAAGAUGUUACCGACACUGGGAGUAUAGCUCCUAUGUUCCGACCAGAGGAAAAAACGAACAUGGCUUUCCUCCAUAUACCUAGGAAAAAACGAACAUGGCUUUCCUCCAUAUACCUAUUAAGAAGGAGAAUGUCUUUUAACGAUAAUUGCCUGCUUUACAGAUUGACGGAUAAGGCGGGAACUCCUUUUCUUCUUGAAAGCAAGUAAGUCCUAGCCUAGUUAGCCUGUCUCGGUCUCAUGGAAAGGGAAAGCUCAAAUAAAUAAGUAUAGAAGCUGGUCUUGAAUAAUUGCUCCGCUAGAAUCAAGAGAACACUUUUGAUAUACGACAACAUGAUUUACUGUAAAACAAUCCAUCCGUUUUCUCCACACAUUGGGCAUUGGUUACAUAACAUAAGGGACCGUUAUCUUGCUGAAGAUUGACUUACCUUUAAAAGCGAAAGUCAGAUGGAAUGAAUGACGCUCCGCUCGCCCCUACUAUUGUGACAUCGACCCUCUCUCUCGCUUAACUAUGUCCCCGCUUCUAUAGUAUUACUUAUCAACUAUAUGUGCCACAGUUAUCCAGACAUUUGUGAUGGUGGUUGUCAUGUCAAUCAGAGGCAGCGCUAACUCCGAUUUCAUAGUUUGCACGAUAUGUAUGCAGACCCUCGUCUACCUUAUUCAACCUAUUCCCCACCAACUAAAGCACAUUACUCACUUACCUCACAAAUCAUGGUGAUUCCGCCUACCCUUUCACUACCUUUGAACUAGUAAGAUUGGCCAAUAACUCCCCUUUCUAUUGUUUUAGCUUAUCAUCCACAGUCUUGUAUAACAGGGCUUUGUCUUCGGUAGUCUAGUGUGUGUAUCUCGCUUCACUCCUCUUGUGAUAGGCAGUAAGAUGAUGGAUGUUAGAAUUGUAUCUCUGCUAAUGGUCUCUCGUAUGAUAAUUGUAUCUCUGCUAAUGGUCUCUCGUAUACAGAAAGAGGUAUGCUGGAUGAAAUGAUGUAUAGUCAAUUCGGGUCCGGAAUUGAUUUAUGUUAGGUAAACAAAUGGAUGGAUAUACUUAAUGUCGCCACGGCACCUUCUUCUUUUCUGUGCGCUAGUUUUCAAUAGGUCGGAAAAGUGGGAAGAAAGCCUUUCAUACAGAAGUGGUGCUGGUCCUAGGACGUGGGGCUCAACUCCGGAAGUAGAACCCCCUCCACAAUCCAUUUCCUAAAGUAUGUAUAAACCUUCUGCACCCAAGGCAUGCCCCAGAGUUCCCCCUCUUUCUUUUUUCAAAGUUCAAUAGUUUAGUUUAGGUUAUGCUUGGUCUUUUGGUAUAUACUCCAAUUCCGCUAUCAUAACUAAGCUCUAAUUCUUUGCUUGCCAAGCAAGGUGGUCAAUAGUUCUUUCUAGUUUGGUAGUGAUAGUUCGCCAAGCUACUACUUUCAAUAGAAAUGGAAGGAGGUGAUUCUGUUGUCUCAGUAUACUUUCCAAUUCUAUAUGUAUGUGCUGCAGCUUAUGUUUCUUAUUCCGUUGUGUUAACACGCUUGCGGAUUCUCUUCUUUGAAGAUUCAUCUACUCUCUAUACUUGGACACAUGCGAUUUGUGCACCGCUCUAUCCCUAUUUCAAAUAACUGAAUGGAGUAUAUGCUUGGUUAGGAGCUUUGAUACUCUUUUCUUUCCUUCCUAACAGACACAGAGACGUAAUUCUUUCAGUCCCGAAAAAGGCCCAGGCGAAAGAAGAGGCCAAGAACAGAACUCCAUGAAGACUCAAACCACUCCCCUGCAUAUAAGUAAUCAAUGAUAUAAGUAAUAAAUGAUAUAAGUAAUAAAUGAGAAAUGAUAUCAGAUCAACGAAGAAAGAGUCCGGAUUAUGUAUUUGAGCGAAGAAAGAGUCCGGAUUAUGUAUUUGAGCCUAAGAACAUAGACCUGUUCGGUAUUCACUCGACACUACUACAUAUCGGCACCAACAUCUACUCACUUCUUGACUGCCCCUUUACCCUUACCCGAUCCCAUGCCCAUGCCUAGCGAUCUAAGCCCGAAAGCAUAGAAUGACUUUUCGAAUUGAUCCAUAUAUUACUCGAUUGCAUGGAAUGACUUUUCUUAUCUAUCUAUAUAUUAACCGAUAGCAAGACAAGCCCUGGAUCCCAAUCCAAUUCCUCUCUCCUGGCAGCAAAGAAAGAAGGGGAGAUCCCCGCUAUCUAUCUACUGGUCACUUAUCCACUGGUCACUUUACUGGCUCAUAACUCGAGCAGUUGCUUGGCCAGACUUAUGCUUAUCCGCCAGGUGGUAACGGGACUACCCUCCUUAUCCUUUGCGGGGUCUACUUCCUUUGUUAUCCCUACCUAUACAUCUUUCCUUUCCCGCGUCGGGGAUGCCGGAAGCAAACACUUUGGAUCUUGUUUAUUUCAUAUUAAUAGUUCGCUCAGUAAAUCCUUCGUUGAAGCAACGGCUUACUCGCAAGAGGAGGCAUAGACUGUGGUGGCUUAUCGAGCAGCUCCACCAGUGCCAUCUAUUACACAGCAGCGGUGAAGCUAGCAGCAGAUACUUUAUGCAUUCCGGGAGAAAGAAAGCAAGUGGUCCCAAGAGCGGAUUUGAGUGCUGGAACUAGUUGUGCUCCUACUCAUACUGGGCCAAAGGACGGGGAUUCAAAUGACAAGAAUAGUGCCCAGCUACAUCAACGGUUCGAAAUCAGUUACUUGUAACAAAUCCAGACAAAGAAGUUGAUCCUUUAGAUUCUAUUGAUCCCCCGGUGAUCCAGUCCCUAUUUAGCAGAGUAGACCGAGGUCGGAAUGGGAUCGGGUCUUUUCACGUCUCACCGUAGUGCCCGUCUUUAUGAACAUAUUGGAUGACUCUGGCUACGUGUCCUUCCUUCCUGCCCUCAGAGCUGAUUCGACGGGAUGCCUAAGAGCAACGAAUUCUUCUUUCCUGAAAGAGCCUAUUCGAGAACAGUAAGAGCAGAUUCGAGGGCAUCAAUUCAUGGUUUCCUCUUCUUUGACUAUUAUACCUACCCAUGGGAACUGUGAACAACCGAUUCUUACACCUCAUCUGCACCUCAAAACAGGGCAUUAUCGAGCAGCUCCUUCUGUAACAGCAGCAGUUGAUUCAAUAGCAACGGAGUCAGUAACGGCGGAUUCUAGCACAACAACCUAUUCUAUAACAAGAAGAGCGGAUACGUCGUUCUUUCAAAGAGCGCUUAUUCCCCUUCAUGUAAAGCCUAUUCUCCUAACAUAAAGCAAAAAGGGAUUCAGGCUCAAGGCACUUUUGGACUCUAUUCCUUCUAAGGAGAGUGAAGAAUCAAUCCAUUGCUUUAAAUACGAAUAGUGGGCGUAUAUUUUCCAGUUACAGAAAGACGUAUAGUUUUAGGGGAAAGGAUAACCAUAGAACCGUUUUGAAAAUGGAUCAGUUGACCCGGUAUACGAAUUCAUUCUAACUAUCAACAAAUUGUGGCUCAAUGGGGAUUGUCAUUCUUUCUACUUUUUCCUUAAUUAAGUCCUAAGUUCUUCAGUAGCUCAGUGGUAGAGCGGUCGGCUGUUAACUGACUGGUCGUAGGUUCGAAUCCUACUUGGGGAGAUUGGAUUCAUGAUUUCUAGGUUAAUGAAGAAUAGAGUGAAAAGGAAGGAAGGGCUCGGACCGUUAGGAGUAUCCGUUCGCUGUCCUUGUUUCUAUUGCAUUCUAUAUCUCAUCUACUCACAUUCUGUUCAACGAUAUAUAAGAAUCGCAAUACCUCGGCUCCGAUCCCUUGUAAAUAUCCAAUUCAUCAUUCUUAGAUGAUGUACUAGCAGUGUCUCCUUUUGAUCAUCGAUUUUCCCGAUAGGCCACAAGCGAGCAAACAUAUUAAUGACGAGGAACGAUUGCAAUACAACUAAUACUAUACUUGUGCUCUGUUAUUCUGUCCAAAAGCCUUUGUGCUUGCUAUGCCACUAAUACUUGAGACUUGUGCUUGCUAUGCCACUAAUACUUCACUUGCGAGGAAGGCUUGCUAUGCCACUAAUACAAAUACUUGCUCUGCAAUUCUUCCCUGGCUGAGGAAGAGUUCUGGGGAGUAACAAAUAUGCUGAUUACGGUAUUGGUUACAAGAGUUCUGGGGAGUAACAAAUAUGCUGAUUACGGUAUUGGUUACAAUAUGUAAUGAUCGAAUCUUUCAUGAGAAAUCCAAAUCAGUAGUAAGGCCAUUCCAUUUCGACAAAGAAAGACCAUUGCAAACCAAGUUCAAUAGCUUUGCGUCCGCUAUCCAUUUUCCUACCCACACCCCUGAGGGAAAGGUCCAAACCAAAAGGUCAGAUUGUAGGCGAGGAGGGAUUCGCCAACACCGUAGCCACGUGCUCUAAUCCUCUGAGCAACAGGCCCCACCCCGUCUCCACAGGAGAAGUUCCCGGGAGUACCAUAAUAAAGGAACCUUUCCUAUCCUCUGCCAUUUCGGGUUAAGAAGAUGUAAAAGGCGCCUUUCUCUCCAUUUCUAUCUAUCUAUAAAGAAAGACAUAAAUCUCACAGUGCGUUCCGAGGUGUGAAGUGAUAGAGAAGAUAAGUCAUAAUUCUCGUUUUUCAUAAGACAGACGACCUUGGCAUUUUGGAUUUCUAUCUAUUUCACAUAUUUCCAAUUAUAGAAUAAAUCAAAUAAGGAAAGGUGUUUUGUUACUAUAUUUCUCAGAUGUUGAAUAGAUAUGAUUUCAUUGAUUUUAGUUUAGAGUGUUUUUCAUUAAUUAUAGAAUAAUGCCUGGGUCCCUUACCUUAGAAUCGAAAACACAAGAUUCAUCCCAGUAUGCACGGAGCCAGAAAGGCAACCCCCCUUGAAACCAUGGGAAGCUAUCAUGGAAGAAUUGAACCUCGUUGAAAUAGUUUCUCUUUCUAUUUCCUUACCGUAGGUUAGUAAAGGAAGGCUUACCAUUGUGCAUUAAUCCCUCUUUCCUUUCAAUUCAAAGAAGAUGUUUUCCCAUAGAAACCGUCAUCUCUCUGUGUCCAUCGCUCUUUGUUUGGUUGGUGGAAUGCUCUCACCGAAGGCUUGGGAUAUUUUUGGAAAGCUUUCAUAGCGGGUUAGUGUAUUAGUUGCUACUAAAAUGGAACUAGCUAGCAGCUUAAGUUAGGAAGGAAGUGGCUAGAGCAUCUACCCCGGGUUCAUGAACUUACAGACUUGCUUGGUCAGCUACAUCUUUAUGGUUCUAACAAGCGACGCUUCCCUCUCUUACCACACAAAGCGAUUCGUGCACAUAGUCUCAAUCUAGUAUGUCGAAUACCUAUGACUUCGAAUACAGCCAACAGUAAUGAAGUUAGUAAAGUAGUAGGAAGCUAAAGACAGUUUAAGGCAUUGAGCUAACCAACGACUAAUGACCAAGCCAGGCAAGCAACUACGACUGAACCUUGGAACUACCCUUUCUCAUGGAUACUUUCCUGGAACUGAACCGAACCUUUCUACUAUUCCUGGAGUGGAGACAACACCUCCGAUUCUCCCUCUCUGGUCUACUUUACUCACACAACGGAUUCAGUUGCGAGAAUACACAUUGCAUCCAAGUUCUUAUAAUUACCCGUAUCAUCUAUUCAAUACACUACUCUUUCUUUCAAACUCCGUUAGCGAGCCACGCCUUUCAACAUUAACAGUGGAUUCUCUAACUGCGGAUGUUAUCAUCAAAAGAAUGAGGCUCAACGCACCUUGGUUUUGAUACUCUCGGAUACCUCCACAUUGUCCUGAAGUUUCUAUAAGUUAUGAUGUUGAUGAUCCUUUAUAUUAGGAAAUUUCCCCCUCGUAUCCAGUGAGGCAUCUACUCUUGAAUGAUCUUUCUACCAACAAAGUUUCCGACUUAAGGCAUGGCUUCAUUAAUGAAUUGAGGCAUCUGAUUCAACGGAUUUAGGGGGUUCAAGCUCUUUGGUUCAGUAAUAGCUUUUCGUGGGGCUAGUUUCUGUCUUCGAUUAGCUUUAUCAAAUAGAAUUCUCUUAUGUAGUUGACCUUUUCUUCUUCACUACGGGUAGCUCCUAGCAACGAUGCCUAUGCCUACUUAGCCUAUUUUCUCUCUAAGGAUUUCUCUCACAGAGAAUCAAAAGAAAGCUUUCCGGGCCUUCUGGUCUUGCUUGAGUAAGCUUAGCUAGAGAUGGAGGAAGCCUUACCUUCUUAUCAAAGACGUCGACAGAGAAAGUGAUCUCGAUAUGUCUCUGCCACCAAGUUUAGAAGCAAGUAUCCAAGAUGGUAUUUAGCUCGCUCCUUAGAUAGGCGAUAGCUCCCUCUUUCUCGGUCAACCAAAAGCAUCUCCUCUGCUUCGUGUCGAAAGUUUCAAUCAGAUGUCUUUUCUUUCUCAUUUCGGUGCAAUUCCUAUUUCUAUUGCUUAAGUCUAAUUAGCUCAAAAACAAGGGUCAAUUGGGUUAUAUAGUUAGUGGCAACCCCACCUGCCAUUUCGCCCUUCCCCUUCCAAUUUCAAUGAAAAGAAGCAAUACGAUUUGUUCUUCCUAUGAUGAGAAGGAAGGCCAUAUAGGAGUACAUAUAUCUUUCAACACCAAAUGUGGAAAAGGCAGAUUUCAAAGAGCGACCUCCUCCAAGCCGGGACACCGAAACUAACGUCGUGCAGCCGAGUAGGAAAGCAGCGAAGCAGUUACUUCGAUCACCGGAGCGAGGCUUCGUUAAUCUGUAAAAAGGUACUUUGCUUUAGAAUCAUAAGAGUGUUAGGAUCCCGCAUACAACAACUAACGUUUCGUCUUUACCUGAUAUCAAUCCUGUUUCCUUGUUUUAGCGAUGCGCAUGGGUGGACUACCCGAUAAAGUAAUAAAAACAACCAAAUACAAUAGAGUUAUUACAUCCAUCUGUUUAGCAAAGAGCAUCGCUAGCACUGAAAUAAGUAUAAGCUAAAUAAGUGCACCGCUUGCUUUAAGCCGGGUUCUUUUUCUUUUGAUCACCCUUUUUGUUUGUUUCUGUGCCCCAAGAAUUUAUUGAUCCAUAAGUUGCUAUUCGAGAUGCCUUAAACAUUAUCCUUCUUUAUAACCCAGAGUAGCAUCCUAAGGCAAAACCCCUCUGAACCUCCAAAAACUCAUCUUCCGUCUGCUUAAUAAGGAAGGGUCCAAGCCAAGUUUCGGAAUUAGUCCCUUCCCCCCUACAGCAAGUUCGAGCCUCAACAGCCUUAUCUCUUUCUGCUAACUUAGAAUUCCUUGCUUGCCGGCUUACUAAUUACUACAAGGCGGUGGUAGACUCAUUUUCUUACUCGACCGGAUCUGUGCGCUCUUUUGGUUGGUGUUCCGUGAUUGAAAGAGAUGAUCGGAUCAAAUCGAAUUAGCUAGAUUCCACUUAUAUCCCAGGGUAGAAGGGAAGGCACGAAGGGUCAAAGAAUAAGUCUAAGGCUAUGCUCUGGGUUAUGGGAAGGUCGUUCAGUCACACCCGAUGGAUAAGUAGUUCUUCCUAUCUUAGCAUCUUAACCGGAGAAAAAAGGCUUCAAGAAUGCAGAACUUGACUCUUUGCGUAGAAUUCAAUUCCAGCUAUCAUGGCUAAUGAAUCAACUGGUAUUGGACUGCUCUCAAAGGCCAGGGGGGAUGGACGGACAACAAUCCCGGAGGGAAAGGCAAAAGCAUAAGUACUUAGACUAUAUGUCCUUAUCAGAACUCUUUCUCUAUGUCCGGAUUGAACAUUCCAAUCGAAGAAGCGAUGGCACCUCUGCUUUACCGAACAAGUAAAAGUCCGUUACUCACAGUAUCUUAAUUGACUGGAAUGAAUCGCUUUUGAUGCUUGCCAAAUCAUGGAAUUUGAGUCGUUUUAUUAGUCCAUUAGGGAAAAGUUUAGAUAGAGACAAAGUUGAUACUUAUUUAUUGAUGAUUGGGCCCUCCUUUCUAUUGUUCUUGUUGGGGCGCUAACUUAGUAUUUCUUUGAAAACGCAUCUUUGAAAGCUGGUAAGGAAGCUAGCUAGCUGCAAUCCAUUUCGAGAGGAUUCCCGAAUUCAUUCUCCACGUGCUUGAUCUCCUAUACAACUUGAGCAAGCCUUUCUUUCUUAAGCACAAAGUAAUAAGAUAAAGGCCUCAGUCAUCAUUCAGUAGCGUGGGCCUUUUUUCACAUCUCGUUGUAGUGUCUGCUUUCAUUCAUGAAGUUGCGAGGCACACGAGUAGGCAAGUCAUUAUGGAGGAAGCACUGUUUUAAGGCUAAGUUCAUCAAGAUUCUCAAUGAAGCUAUUGGAAGCACGAUGGAAGGACCAUCAAUCAAUGUACAGAGGUUCCACCCCAACCCUUUAAGGAUAAAGAAUAGACGGUUGAAGCAAGCAAUCGAUACAAAGAAGCAGAGCUGUAUACUAAGACUCCUUUCCUUCUCCUGUAUACUAAGACUCCUUUCCUUCUCGUCGUAGCUAACGCCCCUCCCUUUUGAUAAUGCUUUGAGCCUGGACUUUUUUCGUUCGUUCCUUGAGCGCUAUGACAUAUUUCUACGGCGAAGCUACGUUCUUUCUUCCUAGAAACGGCGUGAAAGCCUAACUGGAAGCUAUUCAGACUUACCUUCCUAAUAGACAUACAAAUUCUAACGAGAAAGCCAAUCCCCUGCUGCUUUAUUAUUAUUAAUGAGAGAUUGAGAGAAAACUAGUUAUUAAUGAGAGAUGGAGAGAAAACUAGACCAUUCCGUAACGAGUUACUUCGUUCCUUGAUAACCCAUCCUAUUUGACUUGUUUGAGUUUUCACUGCAGAUGUCUCCGUUCCCCCUGGGCCUAGCUUUCUUUAACCUUGUUAGGGCCUUGCCCACUGUCUUAGCCUGGAAUGUUGCGCAACCCUCGUUUAGCAACAAUUGAGAUUUCGCCCGGACUUAUUAAUCAUUGGAGCUUACCUACCUCUAUCUUAAGAAAAAGUAAGUCACCGCUAGCUCUGUGGGGCAGUCCAAUCUGUCCAUUACGACAGCCAUUCCUUAAGGAUUAGAAUAGUGCCCGUCCUAGCUUGAAAUUAGUUACAUCGUUGGAAGUCUUAUCAAGCGAAAUGAAAGGGAUGCGUUUCGGUUUGUCUUUUCGUUCUUUCUGUGAUUGAAGUUGCUCCCGUUUAUGUGUUACUUGCCGAUGUCAAAGCUCUUCCUUGUGCUUGUGUGGGACCGAAUGGAAAGUUCCAGAAUGCCAAAAUAUGUCUUCGGCGCGUUCCAGCUGGAACCGGAUUGCCAUACUCAUUCGCUUCACUGACAAUACAUCUCAAACUUAUGGGCCAGCGCCUGCCUACUAGCCAUUUGAAAAAGAGCUUCCUACUGACUCGGGAAGACAACCAGCGCCCUCCUUAUCGUUAGAGGUGAAAGGAUAGGUAUUGCCAUCGAGUCAUAUAGUAUCCGAGAAUUCAAUGAAAAGUAGAAAGUCUUCGACUGAACCAAGAAUCACUUCAUCUUUUUCUCUAGUGCUUGGAAUUAGGAUGUUACCAAAUAACCUAACAGCUCUAUUCGACUUCCCAUCUAUAUAUCUUAUUUGAGUUCCGCUUUGUCUCUCGCGGGUUUCUUCUUUAUUCCGAGCAUCUCAAUCAGCUCUCGAAACCAAAGAAAGGUAUUUGGAGAAAAUGCAUGAGAGAACUACUGAAUACCAUGGAAGAAACUACAUUUCGAACCUCCCUUGAGCACAUCGGUUCUAUGGUCCAGUUGACUUGCUAAUAACUCACUACCGAAAGUAUCGGAUUGUAAUAUUAAUACGAAAUCUAUGUAUCGUAGAAUUGGGCAUAACCUUACUUUCUCACUUCCUAGCUCCACUGCCGCGUAACAUUAUCAGUCCCAACAAGGACUCUGAUUCUGACUCAUGAUUCCUACUCCAGAUACAACUGGUUCAUUAGAUUCUCUCGAUCUAGUAUCUUCUCUAUUCUCUUGUUCCGGGUGAAACUCAGUAGUUAUGUAUUUGAGCACCUAGUAUAGAAAGGAGGAAAUACCCAGCUCCUAAUCCUUAUCCUGACUUUACAGCUACAACCGACUGGGGAAGAUAUAUCCUUGUGGGGAGCCACUUUUACCUCAGACAAUAUGCCCGAACAGGAAGGAAGGAAAAUCGGAUACUAACCAAAAGGAAAGGAAUGGAAGGAAGGAAAAGAAAAGAGUGUAGCGCUACGCGAGUUAACCACGCUCCAGAGGACCUAUGCACAUAAGCUAGCCUCCCUUUCAUGCCUUUCACUCUUCCGAGCCCGGCCCGACCUUAACUCUGUAUUUCACCUUGAAGUAUUCCAUUACCGGCCUCACAUCUUUAUCCACUAGCUCUAAAACGGACACUGCCUAUUUGCAUUCUUCCGCUCAUCGGUAUGAUCCAGUGCAUCCAACUACGAGCUAUAAGUAGUUACGAAAGAAUAAAGAGUUGAUACACCGACAAGGAAUACAUCUAUUAGUGGAAGGGCCGAUAUCACUACUAACAAGAAUAGAGCAGUGUGCUCUACACGCUUCAACUCAAAAGAGAGAACCGAACCAAGAAGUAAAAGCCUUAUUAUAUGCCCCAGCAGACCAAGCUUGAUUUUAUGUAUCGCUUGUCCACUCCGCAGAGUGAUUCAAAUUGGGGGUACCUGGCAAAGGUGUAUAGGUUGGAGUCUCGAUUUGGAAAUACAGGAAUUAGGGCAUACGAAUCGGAAUAAGUAAUUGAGAGAUCAAUCCUGAAAUACAGAAUGAAAACAUCAAGUAUAAGACCGAAGCUCAAACAGGAGAAUGAAAGACUAUAGUUUGGAGUUUCUCGGAAUUAAGUAAUGGAAGAUAGCGCCAGAGGAAUCAGAAUCAUUAAUGGAAUCAAUCCUGCUUUACGGAAUGAAAGUGUUGAUGCAUGGACUUGCUUUGUCCAUUGUGGAGCGGCGAUCUGUCUCGCUUCCCUGCCUUUGAUUCUCCUAACCUAAUGCUUCCCGGCAUCCUGACUUAUGUGUUUCACUAUUACUCUCCUUUCUUUUAUUCUGUAGUUGGUAGCUUAAAUACCUGGGCUCUUGUCUAGGUUUGUUAGCAUAGUAGUUCACUCCGGUAAAUCUGACUUCACUAUCUAUUAGGCUGACUUUCCUAUAUAUAUGAGUAUGCCUUUCCUUUCGACUAAUAUGCCUGCCCUUGCUUGAAGUCUACCUUCCAUAACACUGAUUCUGACUAUUUCCUACAUCAUUCUGCAAAUAAAUACUUGCGUUCUGUAGUUACUGAUCUAGAGCCCUACUUUCAUUCGACACCCCUUCCUGGCAUGCUCACUUUUGAGUUGAAGAACCAACCUACUAUAUAUCAGACUGUAGUUACUGUUUCCAAGACUUAAUCCAUCAACCAGGGAAUCCAACGUUACCUACUAGAAUAGAAAUACUAACCAUCCAAAUGGAACUGAUGCUAAUAAGAAUAGAGCUUACUGGCUAACAACCUACCCCUCUUUGCUUAGAGUCCCCGGCUGUACUGUGUCUAUGAGAACGAAACUACUUAGCUUGCUUUCUUUAGCUACCGAUUCAAACUGUCACUGCCUACUUUCUUUCCGGUACUACCGAUACGGGUCCUUGCCUGCUAUGUUGAGUCUACCUCUUAUUAGAAUAGACCGCCCUUAGUUGAAGCCUCGCUCGGCCUGUCUUCGGGGAAGCAUUAUUCAAGUCAAAAACAAAGCACAUAGUCCUUUAGACCACGAGCUCAUUCUUAACGUCGGGUAACUAUUUCUGUAUACCGAUCCGGAACUACAAUACAAAUAGUAUAAAUCAAUAAUGAAAUUCAAGGAUCGACCAAGCAAAAGUGAAGGAAUAACUAAGUAGUAAGGGAGUUGAGAGCAGAACCCCGCCUAUCCUUUAGUUAAGUCCACCUUCCUGCCUCAUAGAGAUAGCCUGACUUUACUUAUUUAUUAAACCCUAGCUCAAGGCCAGUACUUGUUCCUUCCGGUCCUGUAGUUGUCCCUGCUACACCUAUGUUUUAGUAUGUAUCAUAGUAAAAGCACUAGGCUUUCAGCACCUUAUUAUUAGUCAAAGUCCAGUUAGGCACUAGUUAAGUCCCAGCCCCUGGUUUACGUAUUUGUUAUGUAAGUCAGUCUUAUCGAAGAGUAGUCUCUUCUUGUUGGCACUAGUUAUUGAUUGAAACUAAACCAACCACAUCAGCAUAUGGAACGCCCUACUAUAUUGAUGUGAUGGAACAAAACCUAUACUCUAUGUGAUGGAACGAAACCAACCCUACUGCAUUGACAGAUGGCCCCACUACUAUAUUGAUUGUAUCAAGGGUCUUGUAUUUUGAUAACAAACAGAAUCAGAGCAGGCCCACUAUAGGACUCCGGGUAUACUAAUAAUAUGACUCCGGGUUUGGAACCAAUGAACUGACUCUUUGAAUCUACUAUUUCUUAACGCUGACUCUUUGAAUCUACUAUUUCUUAACGGUAGUGGUUUUAUUCCGAUAGUAGUAAGCUCAUUCCGAUAGUAGUAAGCUUCAGUCUGCUAGAGUGGGGGACUAUUCAAUAACUAAGGAGCCAGGAUUAGGUGCACAAGUGGGGGCAGGCUCAUUGUCAUUAGAUACAGUUUAAGUACCCAAGGUAUAAGAACGAUGGAAAGUAAAGUAGCCUUAGAGACAGUAAAGACAGUUUUGGUGUAAGUAGUGACAUUACUAGAAGCACCCGUUUUCUUAUUUCAGGUAGGGGUGAGACUCCCUGUUGCUUGUUUACUGCUUAGAGGGUAGCAGUGAACUCUGGUAGUUGAUAGUGGAACAGUUAAAGACAGGAAUAACGGAGUGGGAUCUGUACUAAUGAGAAUGCAAAUAAGUAGUUAGAAGAGGAGUGAGGUAAGCAAGGGCAGCGUCAGCUGCCAGUAAGUAAGGGCGGAGUUAAAGAAAGCAGUGUAAGCCCAAGGUUUGGUUUACAAAGUCAGGCCUUAAGGCAGGAAUGGAAGUUUCCGUCUACAACUAGUGGGAAGUAAUACAGGAUUGGUAGCUGAGGAGUUGGGAGUGGCAGACUUACAAUAAAGCAUAGCAUUCUACAUUGAGUGCAAUUCUUUGGCUACUGGGUUGAGUUCCUAUACAUACGAGUUCCACUCUGAUCCCUUGGUGGGGGGCGUGGCAUUCUUCGGCUACAGAUCCGGAUGAUUAACCAAUAGCAAUAAUAGAAUGGAGCUACUACGGAUAAGACUGAAACUGCCGAUUUGGAGCCUUACUACUUAGCAGCACUAUUCACCCCUGGGAGAACGAUCUCACUUUCCUAUAUCUCGUUCUCAAACUACAACAAAUAGACUUAUACAAAUGCUAAUAAUAAUUGAACUCAGCGGUAACAUAAUCCAACUGUAAACUGGGCUCUCUCAACAGUGCGCAACGAGACCCACCACUAAAACCUAGCCUUUCACUCCGGCAUCUAAGUAUAUAUUUGACUAUAGGGCUUGGGCUUAUUACUUCUAUUAGAAAUUAUACUACUAACUUACUUACUCGUUUGUUUGAUUCCACUAUAUCACUCGCCCGCUACUCACUAAAGGUAUUCCACGCCUUUACAGAAGUGUUACUUGAAAACGGAAACUACUGCCUACCUCCCCUAACUUUGGAUUCUGACUUAUGCUUUUGUGAUUCAUCCUGUAUUGAUAGCUUGAUUAUGCCCCUAUCGAACAUAGGAUAUGGAUGCCAACUACUUACUUAAAUACUUUAGACUCGGGAAAGCAUCUCGGGAAAGCAAGCAUCUCAGAAACCUAUUGCUCCUGGACUCUACAGUCAAUCUUUUUGACCCUAUCUUUAGUGGGCUUGACAAAAUAGCUUCUUUCUAGAUACAUACGACAUCACUCGAACAGAAAGAAGUUAACAUCUUCCAUAAUCUAUUUAAACCACUGCAACAAGCAAACAAGCAACGGAGGUGCUAAGAGCCUUGUAUUAAUUGAGUUUCGGGGGGUGGUGUGCGAGUUCCACUUGUUCAGUUGUGCUUACGAUAGUUUUUGGAGUUAGAGUUAGGUUACCGCUACGUAGGGUUAGAAUAUGUCUCUACUAAAUAUGAUUUGCUUCCUUUACUGAACUGCCUAAACCUCUUUAUCUCAUUCCUUUUUCAUACGAGCGAGUGGAGUUCGAGCAACCAAGCUUAUUCUUAUUCUGAUUUGAGUCUUAGGGUGUAUUAGCUUACUUGAGCAGGUGCUAAUGUGAGCUUUGGAGGAGUAAUCUGUGAGGUCACUCUCUCACAUAAUGGGUACACUAAUAUUCUUUCUUAUAGAGAGCCUCGAUUGUUCUUUGUUUAGACUAUAUGGGUUUGUUUUCAAGACCGGAACUAUCAACCACUCAGCGAUCUCUCCCCGAGGCUAUUUCGAUUUUCUUCCUACAAAUGGAAUAUUACUAUAUAUUUUAUAGAAACUAUAUAUUUUAUAGAAACACUAACUAUCUGCCAGAUGCAAAUCUAUAUUUCGAUGUUUCUAGUCUAUAAAUACUCCACUCCAUGUCUAUAAAUCCACUUUCCCUCGACUCUAUGUCUAAAUCCAAUCAAGCGGUAAGAAGUUAUUAAGAAUCAAAGGAUUCAUGGUCAAAUCCCUACAUUCUGAAAUUUCUUAGAAUUAUGACUAAGCGAGGAAUCCAAAGGUGUAGUUUGAAUUAGUUGGUAGCUUGGAGGAUUACAAACAUGACUAUUGCUUUCCAAUUAGCAGUUUUAGCAUGAAUUGCUCUACUUCAUCAGUCUUACUUAUUUGUGUACCCGUUGUAUUUUCUUCUUCUGAUGCCAAUACUGAAUUUCAAAUAAUCAAAAGAAUAUUAUGGAUUCCGGUACAUCAUUAUGGAUUGGAUUUGUCUUUCAGGUGGCUACCCUUAAUUCUCUCAUCUCUGGGGACUUUUUCCGUAUAUAUCCCAAAACUCCAUAGCUUCUACACCUGGGCUUAGUUAGCACCGGUCCAAGAAUUCUCAUUCGGGUCAUCCGUAAAAUAGGUAAAGCUAGUGGUACGUCCCUUAUCUUAUGGUUUGCGAAUGUUUAGACCCUUUUGCUGAAGCCUUUGCUUUUUGACUGUCUAUUCCAUACGUUGUUUCUCAUCAAAGUAAGAAGCCUUUCGAUGCCUUUUGACUCAAUUACUGUCCAUUCCAUACGUUGUUUCUCUAAUAGCGAUGUUGUUAGAAAUUAGCAAUAGAUUGAUUAUCCGAUUCAAAUAGGAGAAAGCCCUCGACUACUAAUCAAGGGGGAAGCAAGCCAGAUUAAUUCAUUUCGUUUUUCCUAAGGUUAAGUCAAACAAGAUAAUGAUGCUUUUACGCUCAUCUGGUCCUAAGCGCUACUUUUGCUUAUGAAGCUAAGCUCUCUUCCUCUCUUUUGAAUCCUGGGUUAGGUUGUUUAAGGUGUGUCCCGGCCCUUAGUGUCUGCUAACUGCUAAGAAGCUCAGGUCGGUCUUAUUUCCGGACAAAGACGACUAUCUCAUAAGCGUUGGCCGUUCCCGAAAGCCUAGAUCUUGACUCCAUUCUGUCAGUGAAGCAAGCAUCCAACUGAUACAGGUACUCCUUACUAUGCCUUUUUUUCACCUUUCUACUUUCUCCUUACAUUGACUGGGCCCUAGAUGGAUUUCCUCGGUGGGCCGAACUCCUCUCGACCAAAAAGGGUAAGCAAGAGAGCGCCCAACGCUUUUCCUUCGCGCCAGAUGAACAUAAGAUUCCAAUCGCCCACAAAACGAAAUGGGACCGCAAUAGUGGGUUGGUUCCUUCUUAAGAAGAAUAUAAGUCAAUAAAUAACAUUUGAGUUUGUGAUCUGAGCCCCACCCGAGGUUUUUCUAGGACGCGUGGCUUUCCAUUUCUUUUCCUAAACCAAUUGAGCUAUCGGUCUGUACAAAGCCAAAGAAAGAGUGUCCCGCUUUUCCCUUGUUUGUGAACCGAGAUCCAUCUAGUCUAGUCCUAGGUUGUCUGAGGCCUUUCUUUGAUCUUGUUGAAAUAAAUAGGAUUGAUUUGAGCGAAAAGUAGGUUAGAGUUGUUUGCUUGGCUUCAUCGGCCAUUUUCUGUACAAAGGAUCUGUGGCAGUGCUAGACCAAAGCUUACACCUUGCUAAUAAUGGUUAUCAGUCUUUCGGCAAUAUGUACACGAGACAGAGAGUUAUUCCCGGCUUUCUUCCUUUUCCUGCUAUGACUAGAAGAAUUAUAUGUUAAUCUCUUAUCAUAUCCAACUUGGCGAUUACACGACAUGGUGAAGACAGCAUGCUGCAGCAAAUGAUCUCUUGUACUCGCGGAUCGAAGAAGAAUUGCUUUAGAGGAUUCCUUUCCGUUGCUCCCCCAAUCCUUCUUUGCUAUAGUUGUAUUGAUUCUCCAUUAUGAUUGUCUCAUAGGCUCGUGUCAGGCUGAUGCAUUUUGAGGAAUACGUCCAAUCGAAAAGGCUUAUAAUAUCCUUGCUAAUCAAGUGCGAUGAACACUCGCCGAUAGAGAACAGGCAAAACUACACCCGCGGUCGCGUCGGAAGGGUGGGUCGGUGGCUGUCUCACUGUCAAGGAUUAGUUCAGAGAUAUAGAUGUCAUAGUCUUGGCUUGCUUGCUUGCUUUGCAGAACAUAAGGAAUGGCUUCGACCCAGGGAGGUGGUGGUUUUACCUAGUAAUAGAGAUGGGCGUGGAUUCUAUUGGAAGGACUAUUUACACAUGGACCCCACUAUUCAUGAUACUUGGAAAGAAGGCUCUCGCUUACCCACCUGAACCACUAUGGAAAGACGGAUCAAGAAAGAAUAUGGAAUACCAAGAAUACGGAUUUUUGAGUAGGGUAUAAAACAAACAUGUUAUCUGUGCACACUUGGAACCCGAUCCUCAAGCAUAGUCACUACUAGCUGCGACCGAGGACGAAAGCGAAAUGAAUUCCAGAAGCCGGAUAAAGAGAAUCCAAAGUUUCAUAAAGAUCAGGGAAAGAAGAUAGUUAACUACUUAACUAGUAUAGGGUUAGGCAGCCAUUAAGGAUGGUCUUAGUUUGAAGCUCCCUAAUGCGCUUACUUAUUUGCUUGUUUGCUUUCAGAAUCUUAAAUAAGUGUCUCUUUGCGCCCUUGACAAUACUUCAAUUGAAUCUAGCUGCGCCCUUGGCAAUACUUCAUUGAAUCUAGCAUUACUACAAUACUUCAUUGAAUCUAGCGUUACUAAUAAGGGGUCACAAAAUACCUCACCUUUUCUUUCUUCAUCAAAGAAUAUAGGUCACAUUUCGCCUUUGUGCUGUAACUUACUCUCGGGGUGCUUGAGCUUACUUCAGGGAACAAGCUACGGAAAACAAGCAAGAACAAAUAGUUUCGGGUCGGGGUACGUUAGCGAACUCAACUCUACAGGCAAUGAACAAACAAGGGCUUCCACUAUAGCGCCAGUCGUUGCGCAAGAACAAGUAGUUUCGGAGUACAUUAGCGAACUCCACUCUACAAGCAAUGAAUAAGCUGCAACAGAUGAGUCAAGUAUGGAGUUUUCAGGUGGGAGUCAAUCCUCUAUUCAAGGGAUGAGUCAAGGGAAUAACUCGCAAACCUCACUGCUGACAAUCAAGUCACCUCAAUGCUUACAGCUGGCUCUAAAGAAUCUAGCGUUCCACUUGUAUAAGUGCUACAGAAAGUAACCUAACAGUGAAACAAACAUCACUCCUUACUGCGAAACUCGAAAGUCAAGAAAAGAAUCGAGGCAAAAGAGAAACAAGUUGUUGAAACCUUAGUGCUUACUGCUUGUUAUUGAAACCUUAGUGCUUACUGCUGGUUGUUGAAACCUAACUCCUUACUGCUGGCUCAACGCACAAGGGCGCGAACUCCCUUAAGCGCAACAUGAGACUAUGUUCCCUUGCUUCUUUCAUGGAAUCUAGUGCACCUGGAACAAUACUUUCUAAAGCAAGCCUCUUAUCCUGCUCCUACUAACUCAUUGGCUUUUGCUUUUCCCCAACGAUAAUAGAAUCCAAAAGUGACCUAACAGCUUACAUCUAACCUGACUGCCUAUUCUUAACUAGCUCAACCAACCCGCCCGAACUCAAAUAAUCAGAAUGAUGUUUCUUAUCCCUUCUAAACUCACUGACGCUAGAACACCGAAAUUAGGAACAGCUGACUCCUCCAAAGCUCAUUAAUUCACUUAGUCUUGCUUGCGCGGUUACUUAUUCUGUUUACUACUCCCAAACUCUCUGAUUGCCUUGCCGUUUAGAUACCCUAUACUUGACUGGAACUUGACUUCUUAAGCAUUAACAACAGGUUUCUUAGAAGCUGCUCCAUUAGUCGUUGCUUGUUUGCUUGUUUCAGUCACUAUCCCCGCCCGAUACCUCCUAUCUGAAUUCACGUGAGCACUUGUUCUUGCAUGUUUACUUGUUUGCUUUUGUGGCUUUUUCUGUCAUCAUGAAUAUCAGCACCCUUUAUAGCAGGCCCUAUACUAAUGACUUGGGCAGAGGCACCGUUAUCCAUACUAAACUUGCGACUUGACUUCGAGCAGAAAAGAAAGAAUGGAAUUGGGAAAAAGCUCAUGUUCGACGUUGCUUGUUCUGUCUCUUCUUACUCUUAUUUAUUACCUGUAUACUACACUCUAUUCCCUUAUCCUCCUGUUACGUUGCGCGGUGUAUUGUCUUAAAGGUAAAGGCUGCAGUCGGCUGUUGUUAGGCUACGCUAUUAUAGGAAUAUGCUUGAUAGAUGAAAUUCCAGGUGUGAGUUUAGAGUCACAGAGUUUGUGCGUUAGGAGUUUACAGCACCCAAAGAGACUCGUCGAACAGAAGGGAAGGACAAUCCGCCAUAAGAGUAGUUGAACAGAGGUGAAACAACGAGAAAUCUGCCUUCUGAAGCUUACUUGCGCGGGUGCUACGUGAGCUGAGCUUUUUGGAGGAAAGGUGCGCUUACGGGUAAGGGAGCAUUGCAUAGAUCCUGGUUGGUAAGAAGUUAUGACAAUUCCAGCUUUCGUCGAGCGGCAGGGAGCUUAUAGACAAGCACUCUUACUUGACUUAUACUUACUUGUGAAAUUCAGUAGUUCAGUAUUGCCGGGGCCACUGUAUCAUAAGAUUCCAAAGAAGGGGAAUCCGUUCUCAAGUCAGCUCUAGAAUAGACAAGAGAAGCUGUUGAAUCUGUUCUCUUAUAUCAUAAAGAAUGAAAGAUAGGGCAAGUAACUACUAAUUAUGCUUGCCGGUUUCUCUUUUGACUGGAAGUGAAACACAAGCCUACCCGCCAAGCCACGUAUAGACAUUACGAGCACUUCAACUAGAGCACUUAAACAAUCACUCCUACUGUUGCUUGUCUACUUGGCCCCUUCUUUUUUGAUAGCAAGUGUAGACUUCAAGUUGAGAGGUGGGCAAGGGGGAAUCAUAAAGAUCUGAAGUAGGGUACUUAGCAAUAAGGAAGGGCAAAGGUGUAAUUAAGGCUUUAAGACCGGGUACUGAUACUCUUGUGUAAGAAUCGGUACCUUAGUUUCAGAAUGGAAGUAGGUAGUCAAAGAACAACCCGUGUAGUACAGACUUUAACAGGUUGUUAACUUUUAAAGAAGAAAAGACAGGGUACUUUUUCUAGUAAUGAGAAUCGGUUCUCGGUACCGGUAGUAGAAAUCACAAUUCAUUAAUAUUAAUGUCAGAAUGACUCCCUAAAAGAAGAAUGCAGGCCAGCACGAAACAUAGGAUCUACGCAUUGAGCUCAAUUCCCCUGUUAAGGUCUUGUGUACCCUUAUUCUAUUCUGGCUAGGCAGUGUUCGAUCUUAUGGUUAGUCUAGUUGUUCAAGCCCUAGCUCUUAGUUUCAAGUUCCAGUAUUUCUCCCUGGGGACCGGCUCUAUUCUUUCUAUUCUUGGUCUCCGUGGAUUUCCUAGUUAUAAGGUUCGGUCUUAUUGGGCACCUCGUCAAUCUUACUUUCGAUUGUUAGUCCUAUUAGUGAGCUUCAUCUUUCCACUCCUUGGCUGAGUGAACUACCCUCCUUUCUUUAUUCAAAUUACAGAAUUCUGGGCAACGCGUUUGCCUGUACUCGCUUAGACUAAGGGCGAAGGAAGGUGAUCUAUCCGAUACUAUAAGAUAUGUUGUGUCAUACUGGGUUGUGUUGCGGUGCACCAUACUAGGCAUUGCAGAACCCAGCAAAACCGAGAAACAAACCCUAGAGCUACCGUGGGACCAUUAAUUCAGAAAGUGACAUAGCGCUUAUUAUUCAAGUAAAAGCAAAUAGUCCUUGAGGAGCAUCACAAAGUCUAUGAGCUGCCCUGGGCGAAUUCUGUGACUACUAAAUAUAGGUCUGCCUCUCCUGUAUCUUAUUCAAAGAUUGGUAACUACUAUCCAAAUUCUUAGUUAUUUACUUCCAGAUGAUAACCAUAAACUAGGGGGCAACUAACAAGACUGGAGCUAGUGUCAACAAGACUCUCACUUGAAACCAGGGAUUCCGCACUAUCCACAUGGACGGAACUAUUGAAGUGAUAACAAGGCUCGAACACUGCCUUGCGCCUAAAGCCUGUGACUAUUCGUUCAAAAACGGACAUUACUUACUUGUACUCUUGCUUAUUUCGUUAUUCAAUGUAAGUAUGAAAUUAUCUUAUAGAAAUUUGUAUACCCUAUUUUGAGUAGUUUGAUUAGGGAAACCCAGUCGAAAAGGGUCUCCAGUUAUUCUCUUUUUGAAACUAAACCCCCAGCAUUCCAGCCUUACAUGUGGUGAUGGGCUGAGUGCUCCUUCAACUCCCUUAUCUCAGUCCGGAUCUCAGUCCGGGGCUCUAUGCUUUGAUUCUGACUCGCUAGGUUUCGUCUCCCUUCCUGGUUAUCGGCAUACUAAUUAUCAUACACCUGCUGGGGCGAUACAAAUACUUCAACCAAUGUCGUUUAGCUCGCUACCGCGCAACUGACUAUGUAGCUUGGCCCCGCUUCGUUGCUUGCAUCUGAUCUGGUCGAUUCCACUCAAUCACUUUCAUAACCAACAACAGGACUUGAAACUAACUCUUCAUAGUCUUCUUUUCUGGAAUCUUCAUAGUAUUCUUUUCUUUCAACUGAGUGAGAUCUUGCUCUAACUCCUUCUCCUGCGGAUGCGUACUCUUUCUGCUCUACCUAUGACAGCAGGCUCUUCACUUAUUAUUGGCUGGCUCAACCCUGCUUGAUCAUUUCCUAACUCGACUUCAAGUCCAGUUUUCAGGUGACAACAUAGGGAAUUUCCUAUAAUUGGAAUGGAACAGAAGUCUUACGCCGAGAAAUCCAUGGUUUACAGCGCUAUGGUUGGUUACCCGUUUCUAUCUAAUGCGCCCAUAUACGGUGGAGCAGGAAGCCAUAAUCUCAGGAACCCCUAAUACGGUCUAUAGAACCUUGUCGGAGAACCCGAAGUGGGCUGGGCGGGCUUUACCCGUAACUAUGACAGGAUAUUCUUCGCUUACCUUGACUUCCCUUUCCUUCCAACACGUGUGAUACGCCGUGAUCCUACUCUCCCUUCCUAGGUCCGUUUGAUUGAGGAAAAGAAAGAAAGAACCUAUUCCGGUGCCUAUCCGCUUUUAUAGCUUUGAUUUGUAUAGCGCUUGGAUCACCUGCUUCAGUGCUUAGAUUCGUAGGGGUGGGUUGUGGUCUCAGUGUAAUAAGUGCAAAUAUCAACAAAGAACGCUUUCUUUCACCCAGCGCUUAUUAGGUGUUAACUCUUUACCUUCGGCUUUCCAUUGAAUGAUCUAUCCGGUAUUUCUAUUCCCAGGUUGUUUGGGCUUCUCCCUUUUCCCUAUUGAGAUGGAAUCCCUCAGCGGGUCUUCUGCUUAACCCUCUUCUUUUUCUACUCCUUCCUCAGCAGCAGGUCUCUUGUCCAUCCUUAGACGCUGCACCUUCCUUACAUCUUCCUUAGCACGUAUUUGAUUCUUCAAGGUCAAGGCAAGGAUUGAUUUCUUCGCUCGCCAGCACACCGCACCUAGUAUGAUUAUGACCUUUCUUUGCUCACCAACAAACACUUGAUUCUCUAUUCCAUGUUGCAGCUAAACGACAUGGCCCUAGUCAGUGAUGUUAACGACUACUAUACUCAAUCGGCUCCACUUGCUCUUGCCUGACCUACUCUUUUUCUUCACCGGCACCAGCAACAAACAACGUUGUCAACAGGAGUCAACAAGGAUUUCAGUCGAACUAUCCUUUCCUCAAGUCUGUAGUUCGCCUACGAUCCCUACUUCUCGGAUUUAGUCUCUCGCUCCCUACUUCAAAACCUUGCUUUACCAGCUACCGUUCUUACUGCCCCUGUCGUCAAACCAACAACCUUGCCAUUAAGUCUACCUUUCUUUCAUCCCCUAGGUUCUUCUACGGGGUAGUUUCAUAGACAACUACAUAUAUUGGAUCAGGAGUAGCCCUGUGUGGGUGUCGUGCGAAACCUCUGUGAGUAAUCUGGGAAUAGAAGCCCCUAGAUAAGGCUUGGGUAGCUGGAUCUAGUUAUGGGUUUGACUCUUUGGCUUACCGGGUUGACUCUUACUGUUGAGUGGAAUUAACUAGGGGUGUGAUACAUCGUCACAAUAUUCUUAUUCCCCGCGCAAUCCAAAAUGAAAACAUGUAAGAGACUAAUGAGCGAGAUACGGAUUUGAGACAAAACAAAGAUAGUAAGCCCGGGAAGCAGUGCUGGAAUGAAAGUCAAAGGGGGCAGGCCUAACCUAAUAAGCAAGAAGACAAGUAAGGUUUGGAGCUAGUUUCACUAGGCACUGUUAAAGUAAUAGAAACAGUAGUUCAAGCCUGUUUGCUAGUAGCUCCUUAGGAUAGGUAUGAGAAGCCCGGGUUCGGCUCUAGUUAUCUGUGGUAUCAAUCUUAUAGGCAUAAGUUUUCUUCUUUUCUCAUUAGCGCCGGACUGACGCUACACUCUUUCGCUAACAAGGCUAUAGGCGCGGGUUCGUAAUGAAGCCUACUAAUACGGAGGGAGUCUACUAAUGAGAUAUAGCGUAUAAAGCGUUGGUUCCAAAGCAAGAAUCGAGUUGGCACUGUUGAUGUACCUUCUAUCUAUACCUGGGAUGCGGAUCAAAGACUAUGCGCAUGUCCGAUCUAGUUGUGUGUGUUUCUCGGGUUUGUUGUGUUAUACAAUGAAAGAUAUAUGGUUUCUAUAUGAAAAAGAAUAAUGCAAGUAAGAGUUCGGCGCUCUAGUUUUAUCCAAUGGUAAAGAGUUCAUUGCUAGGCCGGAUGUCAAGAAUCAUUUCCGUUUGUUUUCAAUAGGGGUCAGUAAAAGCGUCCUUCCCUCCCGCGCGUCCACAGACUCCUCUAAUUGCUGGGCUUGGGCUUGGUUGAAACUACGUAGUGUGGCAUACUUGAGCUGGAACAUAGGCAUUGAAGGCUGUAGGGAGUGUACAAGUGAAAGUCUUUCCGGGUUGUUGUAGCUAGUAGUUCAAGUCUCAUAGUGGUGGGGUAGCUCUAAUAGUAGCAUAGUAGUCAUUGACUUCUAAUAGAGUAGGGCUGGGUUACUAGUGAAGUCAUUUUUGAUACCCGCCCCUCUGACCCGGCUAAUUCAAUACAUAACCUGGCAAACUUGCUUGAAUUCUUCCUUUUGAGAAAGGAUCACUAGCAUUAGGGUAGCUAGAGCAGAAUCACCUAUAUCUCAACCCUUACUAUAAGGAAGCAUUAAGUAUCGGCAGGCCCAACAGAAUCAUAAGACCUACUACUUGCAGUUGCUUGCGUGGAAUUCAUAACUAUCUACUUCUCCGGUCUGCAACUAAUGCUAAGGGAGCCUAAGGGAGCGGUCUUCUCCUUUACAAUGGUCUCUGGGAGGCCUAUAUAAUAAGUGGAGAGUCAGAAUCAAAUCUCAAGUAUGUUGUUGGCUUAUAAAGUAGGGUUAAGGCUUAUAGAAGUGGGAAGAAAAGAAAGUGAGGGGCGAGUUCAGGGCAGCUCUAACUUCGAGGGGUGGUAAACAAGAAUCAGAUCUUGGGGUGUGGGGGAGUAGUUAAGUCAGAAAUCCACAUUUGUUCUAUUCUAUUAGUGCUCUUAAGGCUUAACCGAAUCAGUAGUGCUCUUAAGGCUUAACCGAAUCUGUUCUCUUUCUUAUAAAAGAGAGAAUGAAAGUGAGCCAUAUAAUCCGGUAUGCCUGCUUGGCCUGUAUGCCCGGUAUGCCAGCUUGGCCCCUACUUUAGAGAAAAAUUCCCACUUUGUAGUUGAGUUCUGAAGUUACAAAUCUUGUAGUUGCAGUGAUUGGCUUUCCCGAGGCGGUAGAUAGAGAGUUGCAGAUAAGGAGAAAAUGCAUUCUUUGUUUCAAGGGGAGGAGGUCUAGGUAUACUUCAUAUGAUGGGUGCGAGUAAUGUAUAGUUCAGGUGCCAAGUAUACGAGAUCAGAAGCGGGAACAAGAUCAGAUACGGGAAGUUAAGGUUCAAUACGAGUUCGCGAAUAAUACAUUUUCGAAUGCCAACUCUGUGGUUAAGCAGUAAAGUCUCUUUCUGGUCUUAAAGAAAGGGGGUUGUAGAGUGAGAGUUGCAUAUCCUAAUCCUAGGAGACAAGAUAAUUAGCUGUGUGCCAAAGUCAGAUUCAAAGCUCAUCUCCUAUAACGCUCUACAUUAGGAGUGACUUGUUGGGCAAAAGCAAAUCAGUGAAUUGAGCUAGCCACCACUCCAUCCUAUUUAGAAUCAAGUCACUUAAGAGAGUAGUGCAAAUAUUAUAGAAUGUGUAGUAACUUCAGAGAGUAGUGAAAGUUCGAAAGUCAGUAGUGGCAGGUCAAGGUCAACACUCGCACGUAGACAUUUAAGGCGUACGGGUAGUUGUAUCCGCUUCUGCAAGAGAAGUUAGUGUUUCAUCCGCAAUUCCAUCAGUGUCUUGUUCGGUGAAGUAAGAAGCGAAAGUCAGAAGGGCAAGCCAAUAAGGAAAUAAGGAUUUUAGGUAAGUAGCGGCAGUCUUGUUAGCGGAGGAAUCGGAUUUCACCCAAGAAAAGAGGUGGACUAUAUGUUAGGGUUGACAGAGUUCAAGCGGAGAUACAGAGUUCAAAGAGGUAUUACAAGAAUUGGAGUUAGGAAAGGCAGACUCAAUGGCGAGAAAAAGCCUUAAAGCAAUGGAUGUAAGAGUGAAAGCUUUGUAUAGGUAUAACAAAAACCCACCCCAACAAGCAAGGUUCAGAGAAAACAGAGUCAGACUUAAUAGCUGUAAAGACAGGCUUACUGUUGAAAAUAAGGAUUUGAUACAAGGGCUCGAUCCAA